rnacentral:lncRNA from 1 species
AAAAGCCAGUAAAGCCGACUUUCAGUAAGAUGAGAGGACUGCUUUGAUUAAAUUCAGGAAAAUAUCCAGUCAGAUCUUGGUUGUAUCUCACACUAAGAGAUUCUAGGUUUGGCAGUUGGAAAAUUCUCACUGGAAAUUCACCAAACAGGUGAUAGUCCCUGAGGUAGAGGGUUGUCAAAGAUGAUAAAUUAGCCAUGGAAUGAGGAAUUGCCGAAGAUACAUUUACAAAACUGAGAGAAAGUACUUCGAGACUGGUUAAGUUUUGAACUAGGCUUCCAAGAUCUGAUGCUUCAAGUUUCAACAAGGGAUAAUUCUCCUCUUCUGACGACUGAUGAUCCUUAUCUUCUGACAAUCUAUCGAGAUUGAGAGCUAGAUUAAGGUAUGUCAACUUGGAUAACAGUGAAAGUUCAGAAGGGACUUGACCAGAAAAGACAGAGGUAGAGAGGUCAAGAUGAGUAAGGCUUGGAAAAUUCCUAAUGCUAGUAGGAAUUUGAGAGUAAUUGAAGUUAUUGUCAGUGAGGUUUAACCUUUGAAGAUGAACAAGGCGGAAGAGGCUGCUGUUGCUGUUGAUAGUGUUGGGACUUAAAAAGGCUUCACUACUUUGGAGAUGUUUAUCUCACAAAGAAGAAUGAAAUGCAGCGGAAUUGAUAGGCAAGAGAAAGAACACUCAAAGUGUUAUACAAAUUUUUUUUAUUCUCACACAAACUUAGUACAAGAGGAAACACUCAAACACUCUCACACUUCUUGCUCUCUUACUUGCUCUCACUUCUUCUUAGUUCUUGCUUCACAACUCACACACAUACACCUAUUUAUAGGCAUGUUUGCCGACCUAUGCCAUCACUAGAGUUUUCUAGUGUAUGAACAUGCACAUACUACACCAACCUAGGCAUUUGCUAGAUUAUUCUAGCUUGUUAUGCAUGCCACCGACAUGGGCAUUACAUAAUAACCUAUACAUUUAUGAUGGUUCUAGCCUUUUCUACAUACAAACCAUUUUUCUAGAUUUUCUUAAACUUUUCCAACUUUCUACCUUCUUUGCUAGAGUUUUCUAGCAUUUUCUCAUUGGUUUUGGGUUGGAUCACUUGUCUUGGGCCUAAGACAAGAUUACUAUUCAACAUCCCCCCUUAAUCUUGUCUUGUGACGCCGAUUGAGUUUCUCAGUCUGACAAAGUCUUCUUGCCUAAGUGGUUUGGUAAAUAUGUCGGCGACUUGGUCUUGUGACUUCACGUAUUCCACUUGCACAUCCUUUCUUGCAAUGCACUCUCUUAUGUAGUGAUAACGAGUAUCUAUGUGCUUGCUUCUGUCAUGGAAUACUGGAUUCUUUGUUAGGGCUAUUGCAGACUUGUUGUCGACAUAGAUCUCUGUUGGUUCUUCUUGUGGCAUGCUUAAUUCUUUUAGCAAGUUUCUCAGCCAAAUUGCAUGGCAGACACAUGAAGUAGCAGCUACGUAUUCAGCUUCGCAGGUAGAGAGAGUGACAAUCGGUUGCUUCUUCGACAUCCAUGUGAAUGCAGUGUCUCCCAUGAAGAACACAAAUCCAGUAGUGCUUUUUCUAUCAUCGGAAUCUCCUGCCCAAUCAUUGUCGCUAUAUCCAGCAAGUUUGUAGUUAUCAGAACUUGAAUAGAAUAAGCCAAAGUUAACAGUACCUUUAAGGUAUCGAAGAAUUCUUUUGGCUGUCUUCAGAUGUGUAGUUGUGGGAUUCUCCAUGUAGCGACUGACUAAUCCGACGGCAUAGAGAAUAUCUGGUCUUGUGCAAGUCAAGUAACGCAAGCUUCCAACUAAACUCUUGAAAAAUGUUGGAUCUACACUUUCUCCUUCGUCAUGCUUGGUUAGUUUGACUCCGCACUCCACUGGCGUGUUUAUGGGCUUGCAGUCGUCCAUUUUGAACUUUUUCAGUAUCUCUUUUGUGUAGCUUUCUUGGGAGAUGAAAAUACCUUCUUCGUUCUGCUUGACUUCAAUGCCUAGGUAGUAUGCCAUCAACCCGAUGUCCGUCAUCUCGAAUUCUUUGGUCAUCACUCUCUUGAACUCUUCAAACAUGCUUGGAUUACUUCCGGUGAAGAUUAGAUCAUCCACAUAUAAGCACACAAUCAAAAUAUCUCCAUCUUUGACUUUGACGUAGAGAGCAUGUUCAUGAGGGCACUUGGUGAAGUUGUUCUCAUGGAAGUACUUGUCAAUGCGACUAUUCCAUGCUCGUGGCGCUUGUUUUAACCCAUAGAGGGCUUUCUUCAACUUCAAAACUUUAUCUUCAUGCCCUUUGAUUUCAUAGCCUGAUGGUUGCUGAAUGUAGACUUCUUCUUCAAGGACUCCAUUUAGGAAAGCGGACUUCACAUCCAUUUGUUGAAUCUUCCAUCUGUUUUGAGCUGCCAACGAAAUUAGUAAUCGUAUAGUUUCCAACCGAGCAACAGGUGCAAAUACCUCAUCAUAGUCGAUUCCGGCUCUUUGACUAUAGCCCUUCGCCACUAAUCUCGCCUUGUAUCUUUCGACCUCUCCAUUGGCAUUUUUCUUUGUCUUGUACACCCACUUGACUCCGAUGGCUUUGUGUCCUUUCGGAAGAAUAGCGAGUUCCCAUGUAUCAUUCUUCUGGAUUGCUUCAAUUUCUUCAUCCAUUGCUUUCCUCCACUUAGUAUCUUGCACUGCUUCUUGGAAGUCAACUGGUUCACAAUCAGCAAAGAGACAGAAAAGUGUAGGAUUAUCGAGUCUUUCAGCUACCUCAUAAAGAUCUCGUAGACUUCUUGUGCGUGGUACUUCUCUUUCAUUUAGACUCCCACUUGGUGAUGCUGAUGCUGGUGAAUUUCCAUGAUUGGUUGAUGUUGGUGAAGCAGGUGGAGUAGUGGAUUCUUGUUGAACUUCUCUUGCUUGCUCCAUCGUCCCUUGUUCAUUCUUUUCUUCAAAUUGAGGAAAGAAGCUGAGAUCACUUGCAUGAGAGCUAAAAUCCCAUUCUCCUUCUUCGUCGAACGUCACGUCUCGACUGAUCAUCGUCUUCCCAUUGUUUGGAUUAUACAACUUGUAGCCUUUUGAAUUUGAGUCAUAGCCGAUGAAGAUGAACUUCUCACUUUUGUCGUCGAGUUUGGUUCUCCUCUCGUCUGGUACAUGUACAUGGGCUAUGCUUCCAAAAACUCUUAGAUGGGAGAUACCUGGCUUUCUUCCACUCCAUGCUUCUUGUGGAGUCUUUCCCCACACACUUCUUGUUGGAGACCGAUUGGAUAGGUAGACAGCACAUGCUACAGCUUCUGCCCAUAACUCUUUAGGUAAUCUCUUACUUUUGAGCAUACUUCGAGCCAUGUCGAGGAUAGUUCGAUUUUUUCUUUCCGCCACACCAUUUUGUUGAGGGGAUCUUGGAACUGUCAAAGGUCGACGAAUUCCAUUUUCUUCACAAAACUCUUGAAAUUCCUUCGAAGUGAAUUCUCCUCCUCGAUCAGAUCUCAUGGCUUUGAUCUUGCAACCACUUUCUUUUUCUACAGCGACUUUGAACUUCUUGAAUGCUCCAAAGACUUCUGAUUCUGCUUCAAGAAAUACACCCAGGUUUUCCUUGAAAAAUCAUCAAUGAAGAGAAGGAAAUAAUUAUUUUUACCCAAAGAGCUUGGUUUUAUUGGGCCGCACACAUCGGUGUGAAUGAGCUCAAGUGGCUUCUGGGUUCUUGUGGUCGACUCCUUUGGAAAGCUUUUCCUGAACUGUUUCCCAAGUAAACAUCCUUCACAAACUUGAUUAGGGUGGCUGAUGCACGGUAAGCCUCUCACCAUCUCCUUCUUAGAUAAUAACUCCAAUCCCCCAAAGUUAAGAUGCCCAAAACGAAGAUGCCAAAGCCAAGAUAUGUCUUUGUAACAAAUCUUGAGACACUUUGUAACAUCGUUUUGAAUGUCCAUGGGAAACAUCCUAUUCUUUGACAUUUUCGCCUUGGCAAUUAAUCUUCCUUUGUCAUCUCUAAGAAAAAGGAUAUAAUUUUUCGUAUGAAAAUCAUAACCUUUUUCUAAGAGUUGACCCAAACUCAAAAUGUUGCUUUUCAUAUUGGGCACGUAGUAGACAUUUGAAAUUAAUUGGUGACCGCCAUUUUUCAAGGGAAUAAGGAUGUUACCUUUUCCUUUUACAGGUAUUUUGGAUUCGUCUCCAAAAGAAACGUUGCCACUCACUGAUUCAUUGAGCUCUACGAACACGCUUCUUCUUCCACACAUGUGGUUGCUGGCGCCGGUGUCAAGAUACCAUGUAUAGUCUUGGUCUUUAUCAUUGUUCUUGCAUGCUAGUAGCACAAUGCCAUUCUCUUCUUUAUCUUCUUUCACAUAAUUGACCUUUUCAUCAGGUCUGUUGCUUGGAGCUCUACAUUCCCAAGCAUAAUGCCCGAACUUUUGACAAUUGUAGCAUUGAACUUGAGAUUUUUCAUACCUCAAAUUUGAGCGCCCUCUUCCACGACCUUUUGUUGAGCUUUCUCCUCUAUCGUAGUUGCUUUGGUUGUUGAAGUUCCAACCACGUCCACGUCCAUAUCCACGCCCACGUCCGCGACCUUGGCCACGACUUCUUUCGUAUUGGCUUCUCUCGUUGUCGAAGCUUCCUUCUUUCUUCUUUGGCUGAACAUGUGUCUUGAGGAGCUGCUCAUCAUUCCCUUGCCUCUUCUUAUGUUUCUCUUCAUAUGCUUGUAGCGAACCCAUUAAUUGCUCUAUACUAAUUUCUUCCAAGUUCUUUGUUUCUUCAAUCGUCACGACAAUGUGCUCGAACUUGGGGUCCAACGAGCGUAGUAUCUUCUCCAUAAUUCUAACAUCUUCUAACUUUUCUCCGUUUCUUUUUAAUUGAUUGGAAACGGCUAAGACUUUUGAAAAAUAAUCAGAGAUUGAUUCAGACCCUUUCAUUUGUAGAGAUUCGAACUCACCUCUUAGUACUUGAAGACGAACCUUUUUCACUUGUUCGGCUCCUUUGUAAGAGGUUUGAAGCUUCUCCCAUGCUUGCUUGGCAGAGGUUGCACUCGAGACUUUCUCAAAGCCAUUGUCAUCUAAUGCUUGGUAGAUGAGGUAGAGAGCCUUCUUGUCUCUCUUUCUUGAAUCUUUCAAACUCUCCUUCUGGGGUUGGGACAGAGUAGCUUCAUCUUCUGGCUCAGUGUAGCCUUUCUCCACGACUUCCCAUACAUCAUGUGCUCCCAAAAGGGCCUUCAUUUUGAUACUCCAAUUAUCGAAGUUGUUGUUGUCGAGCACUGGAACUUGGAAGGCUGCCAUAGCGUUGCUAGCCAUAGCUCUGAUACCACUUUGUUGGGACUUAAAAAGGCUUCACUACUUUCACAAAGAAGAAUGAAAUGCAGCGGAAUUGAUAGGCAAGAGAAAGAACACUCAAAGUGUUAUACAAAUUUUUUUUAUUCUCACACAAACUUAGUACAAGAGGAAACACUCAAACACUCUCACACUUCUUGCUCUCUUACUUGCUCUCACUUCUUCUUAGUUCUUGCUUCACAACUCACACACAUACACCUAUUUAUAGGCAUGUUUGCCGACCUAUGCCAUCACUAGAGUUUUCUAGUGUAUGAACAUGCACAUACUACACCAACCUAGGCAUUUGCUAGAUUAUUCUAGCUUGUUAUGCAUGCCACCGACAUGGGCAUUACAUAAUAACCUAUACAUUUAUGAUGGUUCUAGCCUUUUCUACAUACAAACCAUUUUUCUAGAUUUUCUUAAACUUUUCCAACUUUCUACCUUCUUUGCUAGAGUUUUCUAGCAUUUUCUCAUUGGUUUUGGGUUGGAUCACUUGUCUUGGGCCUAAGACAAGAUUACUAUUCAACAGAUAGAGCCGUGGAGACAGCUGCUACCAAGAUCUAGGCCAAUCACAUGACCCGUCUUCUCAUCACACUUGACACCUUCCCAUGAGCAGCAGGUGCUAUUUCCUCCUUCAGCUGGUUUCCAUGAUGAAACCUUUGGAUAAGCAUCGGGAGAUCUAGAAGCAGAUUUGUCAAUAGUAAAGCUGUCUCUGAAUUGCAGCAGGGCGGACUUCUCCUCAUCAGGGCAAGAUGGAUACUGCUUCUGCGAAGAGUAGGAAGAGUUAGCAAUAACCACAUGAUGAAACAGCAACAAAACUAGUACUGGUUUUGAAAUGCGAAUGGUGGAGAUAUCAAGAAACCCCAUGACAACAAUAUUUUGAUUUUUUUUUUUUUUUUUUUUUUUGCACUCUUAGCUAUGUAUGGAGUGGAAAGUGAUACAACUAUUUAUAGACUGGCAUCAGCAUAAAAUUCUUCCGCAAAUUAAUCUCUAAAAAGUGAUGGAGAUGGGUGUAAUGAGGACAAGUGCAUCGUAUCUUCUACAUGUAUAAAAGAUGCUCUUGACUAAUUUAUUCGUGAGUUAAUUUUUGAAGUCAAGUCUUCCAACUUUUGAGAUGGUGUGAAAUUAGAAGUUAGACAAAUGAGCAGCACCAUAAAAGAAAAAAAAAAUAUUUGCAUACACACAUAUAGUUUAUCGCAUGAGUUCCUUCUGUAAGGGUUUAUGGUAUUUGUAUUGACACUCUUGUAAGGUUUUAUCAUAUUUGUAUGCCCAAUUGCAAGACUUAUCAACUUUGUAUUUGGGUACUUCUAAAUGUGUUGGACCUUCAUGCUUGAAAUCUUCAUUAAAAUAUGUGUAAUUUGUAUUGGAAUACAAAAUUAAACAAAAAAAAAUGUUAACGGGUGACUCAUGAGCUUAAUAGGUUGAGUUUGAGUGACUCAUUAAUUUAACGAGUCGGGUGUGGGUCACUCAUUAGCUUAAAGGUUCAGGUGAAACCCGACUCAAACCCAAUAAACCUGACUUGUUUAUAGGUUACCAGCAUAUAGUAAGGGGGAUGAAAGUUUCGAACUCUCAACAACAAAUUAAGACAUUAGAGUCAUUAGAUUCAAUUCUUGCAUUGGCUUGAAGUGGGAUGGAUUUGAAGCCAUAACUUUUCAUUCGAUAUCCAAUUUCUUCAUCAUUAGGACUUUCAAACUCCUAGCAUAUAUUAAGUCAAGAGUGCAGGUGUAACGAAAUUUUUCGUGUUGGAUUUGGUCUAUGUUGCAUUUUUCAAACCACAAGCCCUUUUUUCAUCAGAAAAGAAAUAUCUCAUUAACUCAAGAGAAAGCAAGGAAGAGAGAUACUUCCACUUGGAGUUGAAGCCCCAAGCCCCAACCAUAGGAAAACUGCAGAAAAACGUAUUUGGCUCAAUUCUAAUUUUCAUUCAUUCUCAAAUGUACAAUAUAUAUUAAAUACAAAUAUAUAGAUUAUUUACAAAUGCACGCCAUUUACUCUUGUGUGGUGCUAUCCACACACCCAUUUUUACCUGUCACACACCACUCCCAAUUUUCGGACGUCGGGCCAUGUGAAUGGUAGAAGAUCAAUGUACAAAAAUUAACAAGUGUGUGUAUGAAAUAAAAUGGGGUGUGUGAAUAGCAUUAGGAGAAAUUAGAUUCAAAUCCUUCAUUUUCCUACUCCAUUGAUUAAAACCUUAUUCCUUUUCAAUUUUUGAUCAACGUCGUUGGAUAUUAAUAAUAUCAUUAAUUAUUUCAAUAAUAAUUUUUUUAAAUAUAUUCCUUUAGUGUUAAAAAUGUUACAAUUAAUAUAUUUAUAUUUAUGGCUAAAUUUUUUAUCAUAUAUUUUUAUUUUUAGUUUGUAACCAUUUUUAAUUUGCAAACCUUUUUUAAUUUGUACCAAUUUUCUUUUCAAUUUUAAUUUGUACCCAUAUAUUAAUUUCUUUUUGUGCCCAUAUUUUUUAAAGUUUUAUUUGUAUUUGUGUCCAUGUGUUUACCAUCACGUGACAUUGUAUAAUUAAUCAAUAAUAGAAAAAUUACAUAUGGUAUAUUUAUGUUUUAUGGCUAAACUUUGUAUCAUAUAUUUAUAUUUUUAGUUUGUACCCACUUUUAAUUUGCAACCUUUUUUUUAAAUUUGUUGUAUUUUCUUUUUAGUUUUAAUUUGUACCCAUGUAUUUUUUUUUUUUGCACCCAUAUUUUUAAAAAUUUCAUUUGUACACAUAAUUUUUUAAUUUUUUAUCUGUACCCUAAUUUAUUUAUACUGUACCCAUUCUUCUUUAUUAAUGUACCACUUUGUUAUAUGUGAAAUGUACCAAUUUGUUUUGUAAAAUGUACCAAUUUUUUUAACACUAUGGAUACAUUAAUUCUUUUGCCAUUUAUUAUUUGUUAUUGUUACAUAGUUUUUAUCCAUUUAUUCAUCAAAAUGUUUGAAUUUUUCAUUGUAGCCGUUUCUAAUAAUAUUAUAAUGAGGGAUUUUAAAUUUAUAGGAUUAUAAAUCUUAUAAAAUAUCAAACAAUUAAUGUCAAAACUAUAAAAAUAUAAAUAUUAAUAGUCAUAUAAUGAGAUGUGCAAAGUCAAUGGACUUUGAUCAAACUUUGAAUACCAUUAAGGUUUUAGUUAAAAAGUGUUAGAGAUUAGAGACCCCAUCCAAAGUAUCUCAUAACAUUAUCCUUACUCUUUCAUACAAUUAGCGUAAUGCAAAAAAGUCAACGAACCCAUGUAGAAGAUUUAAUGAGUCGAAUUGUUCAAUGAACCAAACCCAUGUAGAAGAUUUAAUGAGUCGAAUUGUUCAAUGAACCAAAUUAACUAACACUGCCCCUCAAGUUUUGUUGGGUAAAAGCUUAGGCGCUCAAAGCUUACUUUUACCUGACGGAAUGAUUUCAUCUCAGAAGGUGUUUUCUUAUAGUGAUACCAAUUAACUCCAUGACAAUAAUCUUUUUAAUUAUUUUACGGAGUAAUUAGGUUUUCAUCCUUAUUGUUACUACUCUAUUGAUUAAAACCUUAUUACUUUUCAAUUUUUGAUCAAGGUCCUUUGUAUUAAUAAUAUCAUUAAUUAUUUCAAUAAUAAAAUAUUUUUUAUUUCUAAAUAUAUUCAUUUAAUAUUAAAAAUGUUACAAUUAGUAUAUUUAUAUUUAUGGCUAAAUUUUUUAUCAUAUAUUUUUAUUUUUAGUUUGUACCCAUUUUUAAUUUGCAACCCUUUUUUAAUUUGUACCAAUUUUCCUUUCAAUUUUAAUUUGUACCCAUAUAUUAAUUUCUUUUUGUGCCCAUAUUUUUUAAAGUUUUAUUUGUAUUGUACCCAUAUUUUUUUAUUUAUUUGUACCCAUUUUUAUUUUUGCUAAAUGUACCCAUUUUGAAGAAUGUACCCAUGUUUUGAUACAAUAAUUUUUUGGUUAUUUUUUAUGAAUGUACCCAUGUUUACACACACACACAAUAGUAUAUUUAUAUUUUAAUAUUUGUAAUCCCACAAAUUAUGUUUUUUAUUUAAAAUCUCAUUACUAUAAACAACUAUAAAUUUUAAUUUUUAAUUUAAAAAAUAUAGUAACGUACAUAGAAAUAAAUUAUCAAUUAAUUUUAGGGACUUGGAUCAAAAAUUGAAAACCAACAAAGUUUCAGUCAAAGAUUAUUCAUAACUAGGGACCGCAUCCAAAGUCUCCUUUAUUUUAUUUUUUCACUCUUAGCUAUGUAUGGAGGUACAAAGUGACAUAACUAUUUGUAGACUGGCAUCAAUAUAAAAUGAUUCUGCAAUAUGAUUUCUAAAAAGUGAUAGAGACCGGUGUAAAGGGGACAAGUGCAUCGCAUUUCUUCUACAUGCAUAAGAAGAGAUACUCUUGACUAAUUGAUUCAUGAAUUAACUUUUGAAGUCGUCUUCAACUUUUAAAAUAGCGUGAAAUCAGAAGUCAAAAAAAUAAGCAGCACCAUACAAGAAACAAGGCUUGAUGACGCAGCACUAGCGUAGAAGGAUUAAAAAUAUAAAUCCUUGAAGAAACAAAGUUUUUGGAACCCACCAGUUUGAUAGAAACUCUAAAAGGAUAAUUUGAUUAAUUGAUGAGUUGAUGAUUACAAUGGAUAACACCCAUGACUUAAAUAAGUCAUUUACAACACUUUUGGACAACUCAAAAGGCUUAGAGAAUUAAAACGAAAGUAAAUGACAUUAAUCGGACGACAAUUGAAAAGUCCAAACUUAUUACAAACUUUAUUUUUCGGUUUUGGAAGCCACAGUCACAAGAGUUGGCAAGCUCCGCACACAACCGAAGGACAUAGUUAGCUUAUUGAUUACUCAGCCUGCGUGCCACGAAUGCUUGGUAGUUUUUAAGGUCAACAAUUGUACAUUUGAGAAUGAAGGAAAAGUACAAUUGAGCCAAAUAUGUUCUUCUACAGUUUUCCUAUGGUUGGGGCCUCAACUCCAACUCGAAGUAUUUCUCCUCUUCCUUGCUUUCUCUUGAGUUAAUGAGAUAUUCCUUUUCUGAUGAGAAAAGGACUUGCAGUUUGAAAAAUGCAACAUAGACUAAAUCCAACAUGAUAAAUUUCGUUACACCCGCACUCUUGACUUAAUAUAUGUUAGGAGUUUGAAAGUCCUAAAAUGAUGAAGAAAUUGGGUAUCGAAUAAAAAUUUCGGGCCUCAAAUCCAUUGCACUUCAAACCACUGCAGGAAUUGAAAUAGAUGACUCUAAUGCCUUAAUUUGAUGCUGAGAGUCUGAAACUUUCAUCUCCUUUACUAUCUGCUGGUAACCUGUAAAUGGGUCCCGUUUAUUAGGUUUGGAUCGUGUUUCACCUGACCCGUUAAGCUAAUUAGUCACCCCCAACUCGUUAAGCUAAUGAGUCAUCCAAACUCAACCUACUAAGCUCAUGAGUCACAUGUUAACAUCAUUUUUUAUUUUUUUUUAAAUUUUGCAUUCCAAUACAAAUUACACAUUUUUUAAUUAAGAUUUCGAGCAUGAAGGUCCAACACAUUUAGAAGUACCCAAAUGCAAAGUUGAUAAGUCUUGCAAUUAGCCAUAUAAAUAUGAUAAAACCUUAUAAGAGUGUCAAUACAAAUAUCAUAAACCCUUACGGAAGGAACUCAUGAGAUCAACUAUAAAUGUGUUACAUAUAUGCAAAAAUUAACUUCUUUUUUUUCCUGUUUUUUGCGGAAAAAUUUUCAAACCUAACAUGUGGACAAACAACGGGAUGACGUGGAGCGAAUGUGACUACUGAGAUAUUAUGGUGGAACCUCAACUUCUUAAACAGAAACCCAUUAAUUGUAGAAGAAUCGUGUCUAUCAAGUGUCGAAGAGUCAUAUCAACCAAGUAAGACUAGUGGAUGGCGUUUCUUUGAUGAGAAAAGAACUUGCAGUAGUUUGAAAAAAUCAACAUAGACCAAAACCAAAGCACAAGUUCCACACAUAGGCCCGUAUCCACUCCACCGGUCGAAUUAAAACCUAAUUACUAUAUUUGGUUGCAUUCAUUAUUUUAAGAAUCGUCCGUGUAUAAGAGUCGUAUCAAACAAAUAAGACUAUAGUGGAUGGCGUUUCUCUCUUACUUGACGUUAACAAGAAUAUGUACACUUCCUAGAGACAUAUGUAGUUGGAGGAGGUUUCCCCAUGGUUGGGGCCUCAACUCCAAGUCGAAGUAUUGUCUCUUCCUUGCUUUCCCUUGAGUUAAUGAGUUACUGAGAUAUUUCUUUUCUGAUGAGAAAAGAACUUGCAGUUUGAAAAUAUCAACAUAGACCAAAACCAAAGCACAAGUUCCACACAUAGACCAGUAUCCACUCCACCGGUCGAAUUAAAACCUAAUUACUAUGUUUGGUUGCAUUCAUUAUUUGUUUAGUCUUGUCGACUUUAAGAAAAGAAGGAGUAAUUCAGUCAAUCUACACUACUCUUAAAUCCUUCUGUGCCACAUGAUCUUAGGUUACUUUCCUAUUAUUUAGGAGGGUUUACGAUUGCUUUCAUGUUUGUUAAGAAUUGCGUCUUUAUAAAUACACCAUGUAACUUCGCUCGAGUUGAGUUUGGUAAGAUGUAGUCAUUUUGUGUUAUGUAUCAAUUUUAGCAAAGUUUUGUAAUCAAUCGGUUUGUACUUCUUUUUCUCUUUCCUUCAUUUAUUUAUUUUUUACACACUUGCUCUCCAACCAUUAAUCUGGAUCUUGAGGUCGAAGAUCAGAUGGUUGAGGUCAAGUUAAGUGAUGUAAGACAAGAUAUGAGUCACUUCCUAUGAAGAAAUAUAAAUAAAAUAAAAUGUUUCAAGAGAAGAAGAAUUAAAAUUGAAAAAUAUUGGAUUCAAUAAAUAUGGAGAAAAGGCAGCAAGAAAUAUUCCGAUGUCAUAGGAAGGAACACGUCUCGAUCUUCGGGUUCUAAAGCCUGAAGACAAGGCUGCUAGUUCUGCGAAGUUCAAAUAUCAAAUUUGGCUUUCAAUGUGCCGAAUGUAGUAACCUGUAACACCUCACUUCGCCGAGAAGGUUGAUGAAAUGACCUCUACCAACAAGGACUUAAAAAUCCUUGUCGACCGAGACUUGGAUAGGUAAUCAAUCGGCCGACAAGUAGUGCUGCUUAUCCAAACUGAAGGUGCUCAUUGAUCGGCUGAUUCUAUGGCUCCAGUGUUGUUUAUCCAAACUGAAGAUGUCGUUGGUUGCCUUCACAAUGCUGUUUAUCCAAACUGAAGAUGUGUCGGUGAGAAAAAGAAAAUAAAAAUCUCAAGGUUGUUGAGAGGUUUCGCGUAGAGCGAGAGUUUGCGUAAGGUAGUUUGUGUGUUGAAUUGGAGAAGCCCUUGAAUGAUGCACUCCCUUCUCUAUUUAUAUCAGCGAGAACCCCUAUGGCCGAACUAGAAAUAUAUUAGGAUUAGAACUCCUUAAACCAAUUUGAUUAAACUUCGACCAAUCCUAAUCUUCAUAGGACUUUGAACCAAACCUUCAAACAAACUAGGUUCAUCUCCUAAUACCAAGUACUUUAGCUUUGAGACUCCUUAUUAUACCAGGAUUCAACUACUUCACCUUUAUUCGAAAUAAUCCUCUUCGUAGCAGGAUUCGGCUAACCUCGACAGGGCCGGCCCAUGACAAGAUUCUAAAUAAAAACCAUUGGGCCGAGAAUAUUUCUGAGCUCAGCCCAAAAUAUCAUUUUGGGUCCAAACAUUGGUCCAUUGCUUCUGAGGUCCUCGGCCUAAAAAUUCUGGCUGAGCCUCGACCUUGAAAAAGUGAAAUCAAACCUUUAGUAUAUCUUCGAAAGACAACGAAAAAUCUCAAAUAUUCUACCCACUCAGGUGCAUUUAUGAAGCACGAUUGCACGAUCUUAAUUUGUCAGAUGCUCUGCCACGUGGUGAUUCCUCAGCUUACUCGUCUGCCAUUAAUAAUGACAUUUGAAACGUGCAACCAUCGAAACGUCUCUUCACCAUUAAAUUUGCUGUCAUAUGCAAACGUGCAUCCUCAAUCCAUGAGUUCUUCGGUCUUCGGUCUCUUCACCUGGAUUCUUUGAAUAUCCAUCAUGAUUACAAAAUCCUCUGGUCAAUUUUACCCCCUAAGAACUAUUGAUCUUCCUCCCAAAACACCUAUAAAUACUCAGUUUUCCUUCAUUCAUACCUUACGCUUUUAAAAAUCUCAAAUCUCAUUGCCACUUGCUCUCAAUACUAGAAAAACCAACCUUCCUUUGAAACCUAUAAAACCUUCAUCUUCUUCAAUGGCUGCCAAUACUUUCAUCACCAAGUUGGUCGAGGAAUGCACUAAAUGCCAAAGCAUCACUAAUCGAAACACUAUCAAAACCAUCUGAUUUGAGGAUGAGCCAAAUGCUUCCCACUAAACCCUCGGUCCAUUGUUCAAAGACGAUGUUCCAGAAGUGAUCAUCGAAAUGCUCAAGGAGCAUUGCUUGAAACCCUUAUUCCAAGGGUAUGAUUGGUCGAAAUGGGAAUUGGCCAAACCCCAAGGCGUUUGGCCUUCGAUCACUGCGGCCUAGGUUGCCUGGUUCACUCAGAUGGAGCCACAUUUCGGCGACGAAUGGAAAGCUCUAGGCAUUUUUUAUGUCAUUAAACUCUCGACCAUCGAGAUGAGCUUAGAUCGAGAGCUCGUGAUGGCUGCUUUGAGCUUCUGGUGCUCGGCCACCAAUACGAUGGUUCUCCCCCUCGGCCCCUUGGCCCAACAGUGAUGGACAUCACAACCAUACUUGGCACCUCUCCUACCGGCCUCCCAGUCGACAAGUCUCUCUCCGGGUAUCAAUUUGACCUGGACCUGAAAACCAUUUUCGAGGAGCAUGCCAUUGAAUCCCUGACAAAGGAAAACCAAAAGCUGUCGAAGGAAGAUGCGUAUAAACUACAUAAAAAAUUCUUCAACUAUAACACCCUAAUCACUCACUUCACUGGCUCGAGAGGGGAAAAUCUUAAAAAGGGUGAACACGGGGCCUUCUUAUUCUACUGGUACAACAAAUAUAUAUAUUGUGCCAAGUCAAAUAAAUGCUUGGCUGAGAAUAUGCCUAUUGCCGAAGCCUUGGCUAGCGGUCAUGUCCUGGCCCUUAGUCCGGCCGUUCUUGCUAACCUCACCAAAACGGCCCGUUCUGGGUUUUUCAGCUCUGGUUGCAGGUCUAUUUCUCUGCGUUGCGGCCAGACCUUGCAAGUUUCAACUCUUCCGAAGCCAUAGGCCUUGAGCUGGCCUCACGACCCAUUCUUUCCCACUUGGCCAAAGAGAUCUUCAAAUAUUUCUUUGGCCUAAAAGACCUGUCGGACGACGAAUUCCAUAUUUGCCAUCGCCGAGCGUACCCCCCUUCCAUCAUCCUUCAACAUUGGCAUGGAAAGAUGUCGACGAAGCUGAUCUCCAAAAUUUCUAGGGGUCAUUUAUCAUCACUCGCAACCUGCCCUAUGGUUGCAAGGCUCGACGAGGAAGCUGGGAAGUUUAUCACCCAAACUUCUUGGCUCGUCAACUGGGUUUUCUUCAAGGAUGCCAUAUGCCAUUCCUUACUUCUCUUUCCCUCUUGAGCCGAGAACGCUUCUUCGGCUCUUCAGAGAGGGAGUGUGAAGUAGCUAAGAAGGAUUUCAAGGAGUGGUGUGCCAAAUUCAGUCUUCGACUGAAAACUCCAGAAUCCCGUUAUGCUAGCAUCUUUGCCGAUUGGUGGGAUACCUAUACUAAGGAUUUCUUCAGAACUUCGGCUGAGGAAAUCUCACAAAAGCUUUUUGGCGACGACCCCAAAAAAACUCUCGCCCUAAAAUCCAGAGAAAUGGCCCAAGGUAUAUAGCUUUCCUUUUUAUUUUUCUUACUUUUUUAUUUCGGACUUCUUUUUUAUUCAAGCUCAGUGUUUUUAGGUGAUUGGGAUGGCCACGGCUAAGAAAAAACUUACCACUCCCAUGAGGAAAACUGCAACUGUCGCACUAACCCCAUCAAGCAAACGAUUUCGUCCGAAUGCCGAGACGGUUGAUGAAGCUCCCCGGGCGAGAAAAUGUGUUAAGAAAUUGGCAAAGAAAGGGGAACAAGAGAUCCAUGUUAUCUUUAGCCAAACCAUGGGAGCAACUACUCCCAGUGCCUUUCUCAUUUCCCCUGCUGUCAAGGUCUCGGCCAUGGUGUAGGGAGACUUAGUGAUUGAGCUGGUCACCAAUCCGGCUGUCGAAUAGCCUACAACUUCAACACUGGCCGCUGCUCACGUCGAAGUCAGCCUGGCGGUUGCUACCCCGAAGAGAGCAACUUUUGUAGCAAAAAAAAAUCUCCCCCCGAAUCCAAAAAAAGCUUCAACAAUCAUCCUAGAAUAAGAGGUAUAAAAUUUUAUAAUGUUCUUUUUAUCUCGAACUCAUUGUCUAACGACUAAUCCAUUGUCUAGGAGGAUGAAAGUGAAGGGCCCCUACUGGUAAAACAUCCUCAACCAGCCGAAUUGCCGACUAUCACUUCUCAACUGGCAGUCGAGGCGGUGGAUCAAGCCGAUGCUCCCACAGCUGAAGCAGGUUUGGGUUAUGAAACACCACUCCAUGUCGAGCCAGAAGCAACAGCCGAGAUGCCGAUUCAUCUCUAGGACCAGAAUCUCAAUAUCCCUCCCCAGGAUGUUACUUUAACCUUUGUAAGAACCGUUACCAUGUCCCAUUUUCAAUUCCUAACCUUUGAAUUAUGAACCAAGAGCAACCAUGAAAAUGCCAGGUGCCUUAUCGUUCAUUUCACCGAUAAUUUUACGCGUCAAAUGGUGUUAUUUAUAUUUCUUGGUUGCUUCAAUGGCCAUCGAAUGUAGAUAGCCUCUAGCUGAUAUGGCCGAGGUCUCAUCUCGACAGGUCUAUCAUAACUUCUUUAUCUGAUAUUCUUUUGGACUCUUCUUUACUAACUUCUUCUUUGUGCAGCUUCAUGGGAAGUCGAGCUCGACGCUCUCCUCUUGAGUACUUCUGGAGUAGCCGGGCUUUCUGUUGCGUCGACCGAGCCUUCAGUAAUCGCGGUCGAAUCCAAUACCUUCGUCAAGUUUCAGGAACUUCUAUCCCUUUUAGCCUCACAAGUCCUUUAAUGUAAAGGCAUCGACUCUGUAGAAUAAUGCUUGAACGAUCUUGUAGCCGAUGGCUUGUUGAGCACCGAAAGUGUCGUCCACUUAUCCAAUAUCCUGGAGCGGACCCGACAAUACUUCGCCACUUUUGAAAGGGCUCUCCGAGCUGAGGAUAACCUUAAGUCUAUAAAGGCAGCUCAUGAUGCUAGCCAACCGAAGGUUGAAGCUAUAAAAGCAAAGAAGACUCGACUGGUUGACCUUGAUCGUCAGAUCGCCAAACUCCAGCGUCAAAGGUCGAUCGUCGCUUCAGAGCUCGAGAAAGAUUUUGAGGCGAAUAAGUCCAUCCUGACAGACCACAUAGCCAACUCAAAGCGGAUACAACAACUGCAGCUUGAUAAAAGAACAAGACAAACCGAAGUUACAAUGGGUGAAGUAAGGUGGUUGGAACUGAAAGCCGCUCUUAAAGCCUUCCUUCCUUCGACCCCUUAGGAUUUUGGCCUUAUUAACCAACUGUUGGAUUCUUUUUGUAAUUCUUGUUUGUAAGCCUUUUUGCAAAAUUAAUGAAACAAAACUUUUAUUCUCGCAUUUCCCAUUGAUUAGUAGUUUAUGAAUUAGACCAGUUCGAUCUUUAAGGUGGUAUGUCCCCAUGCCGAGAACUUUAUAGAAGACAAACGGUCCUUCCCAAUUCGGCGACCAUUUCCCAAAUUUGGGAUCUUUCAUCCCUACGGGUAACACGAUUUGCCAUACUAACUCUUCCUCGUCGAACGUUUUUUGUUUGACUUGUUGAUUAUAGGCUUGCUCGGCAAUCUUUUUUUGCACCACCAAUAAAUUAUAAGCAUCAAGUCGAGCAACCUCAAAGUCUUCUAACUCUUGUCUCAUGGACUGAUUGUAUUCAGCACUGAACAAACUACUUUGUUCAAUUACUCGUAAUGAGUUUAUACUUAACUCAACUGGUAGCAUCGCAUCGUGCCCAUAAGUUAACACGUAAAGGGUCUCCUUGGUUGCUGAUCGAGGUGAAGUUUGAUAAGCCCAUAAUACCUCAUUUAAUUUCAAAUGCCACAUGCCAGGCCUUUCUUCUAUCAUAUUUUCAAGAAUACUGAUUAAAAUCUUAUUACUUGCUUCGGCCUGUCCAUUUACCUGUGAGUAAAACGGCGGGGACUGUUCCAGUUAAAUUUUUAAACUCGCUGUGUACUUUUUGAAUCUGUUAGAUGUAAAGAUUGUACCGUUAUCCGUUAUGAUUAUUUUUGGUAUGCCGAAUUUGGUUACGAUAUUUUCUUCCCUAAAAUUACAAACUUCUUUAGACGUUAACUCGGCGUAUGACUUUGCUUCGACCCAUUUGGUGAGGUAGUCUGUUACAACAAGUAUCCACACAUGCUUAGCUGACUCGGAAGACGGCGUAAUUUUACCGAUUACGUCUAUGGCCCAUCCUCUGAACGGCCAGGGUUUGGUGACUAAGUGAAGUAAUUCGGCCGGGACUUUUUGUAUAGGCUUAUGAAUUUGACACUGUACACAUCCUUGUACGCACUCAAUACAAUCCUUCAAUAUACUUGGCCAAAGAAUCUUGAGUCCAGAUUGAUGAGCUCCGUAAAUUCCUUCGUGUACUUCUGUAAUUUCUUAAGCAGCCUCCUGUGGGCUGAGUCACAAUAACAAUAAACCAUCAUCACCCUUCCAGUACAACUUAUUCUGGUACAACACGUAAUUUAAGGCAUGGACCCUUGUCUUGCGGUCGUGUUUGUCACUGGGGUUAUCGAGAUAUCACAUGAUUGAUCUUCUUCAGUCGUCUGGUAAUGUCUUAACAGCACACACAUCUGCAGGAUCUCCUCGUUCUAACAACGAAGGUAAGGAAAUCACUCGUGUACGGAUCAAGUAGCUGUGUUGGAGAACUUAUUGAUUAACCAAGGCUGGGUGCGAUUGUCGUACUACAGGUAUAGCCCGGCCUAGCUCGCCCCCAGGAGUUAUGCUCCGAAGGCUAUUUGAGCCAGUUCGUCUGCGUCGGUGUUUCAAACACGGAAGAUGUGUUUGAAUGUGAUACCGUCGAACAACUCGGCCAAAUAAUUGGCAACCAUGUGAUAAGGCAACAGAGUACAACUCAUGCAACGGAAAGUUUCAUUGAGUUAGUUAAUCACAAGUUUCGAAUCGCUAAGGACGAGUAUGCGGGUUGCCCUCAAGUUGUGAAAGAUGCUGAGGUCGAUGAUAAGGGCUGCGUAUUCGGCCUGAUUAUUUGUACAAUCAAAAUCAAGCUUAAGAGAAAAAUACUAGCGGUGUUGAUCUCGACCGAAGUACAACUCGGUAUAAAAGACGAACUAGUUUGACUUUUAACAGCUGGGUUUAUUCGGACCUCUCGAUACGUCGAGUGGCUGGCCAAUAUCGUCCUGGUGCUAAAGAAGAAUGGUGCCCUACGCAUCUGUAUCGAUUUUCGUAAUCUGAACCUAGCAACGCCCAAAGAUGAAUACCCGAUGCCGAUCUUCGAUUUGUUAAUUGACGCCGCAGCAUACCACGAGAUCUUAUCUUUUAUGGAUGGGCAUGCUGGUUAUAACCAAAUUUUCAUCGCCGAAGCUGAUGUCCAUAAAACCACUUUUCGUUGCCUCGGGGCACUCGGCACAUACAAAUGGGUCGUCAUGCCCUUUGGCCUUAAGAACGCCGGUGCCACAUACCAACGAGCUAUAAACACUAUUUUCCAUGAUUUAAUUGGUACCAUCGUCGAAGUCUACAUCGACGAUGUGAUAAUCAAAUCAGCACGUCAGCAGACACAUUUGGAUGACCUCCGUUAGUUGUUCCUGCGCAUGCACUGGCAUAAUCUUAAGAUAAAUCCUGCCAAAUGUGCUUUUGGCGUCUCAGCCUGAAAUUUUUUAGGAUUCCUCGUCCAUCACCGUGGUAUUGAGAUGGACGACAACAAGGCUCACGCAAUCAUUAAUGCUCCACCCCAAACGACUAAGAAACAACUACAAUCAUUGCUCGGCAAGUUCAAGUUUCUCCGUCGAUUUAUUGCCAAUUCAGACGGGAAAAUGAAAGCAUUCUCCAUGCUUUUGAAACUUAAGGACUCCAACACCUUCGAAUGGCGUUCAGAACACCAAGAGGCAUUUACACAGGUCAAGGUCUCCUUAACAGUUUUGCAUGUCCUCGUCCCACCACGACGGGGCCGACCUCUUAAGCUAUAUAUCUCGGCGGCUGAAGAAUCCAUCGGAUGCCUUCUUGCACAAGACAAUGACGCUGGGCAAGAAUAGGUCAUUUUUUACCUUAGCCGAAAUCUCAAUCCACUAGAGAUUAAUUACUCUGUUGUCGAGAAGUUUUGUCUUUUGUUAGUUUUUCGCUGCGUCAAAACUCAGACAUUAUAUGCUCCCAUCAGUCACUCAAGUCAUCACCCAGGCCGAUGUCAUUCGUUACAUGCUUACUCGGCCGAUCGUAAAAGGCCGAAUUGGCAAGUGGACGAUGGCUCUCUCUGAGUUUAGCUUGCAAUAUGUGCCCCAGAAAGCUGUCAAAGGUCAUGCUUUGGCCGAUUUUUUGGCCCAACACCUUUCCUCGUAUGAGUUCGGGGGCAAUGACGUUGACAUCGGAAUGGUGGCAAUACGUGGUAAUUACUGAACGAUGUAAUUUUAUGGUUCCAGUACUUCAGUCUCGGCUAGCGUUGGGAUUGUUAUUCAAUCCCCCACUCAUAAUCGUUGGUAUUUUUCUCUCGAGCUUGAUUUCAAUUGUACGAAUAAUCAAGCCGAAUACGAAGCCCUUGUCAUCUACCUCAGUAUACUACACGAUUUACGGGUAACUCAUGUCCUUGUUCUUGGUGACUCUGAACUUGUCAUCUACCUCGAUGUACUUUUCGUUGCAUGAGUUGUACUCUGGCGCUUUACCAUAUGGUUGCCAGCUAUUUGGCCGAAUCUUUCGACGGUGUUACUUUCAAACACAUUUCACGAGUUCAUAACACUGAUGCCGACGAAUUAGCUCAAAUAGCCUCCAGAGCACAACUCAUGGGGGGCAAAUUAGGCCGAGAAAUACCUGUGUCACGACAAGCACAUUCGGCCUUAAUUAAUCAGUAAGUUCUCCAACGUGAUUGCGUGAUCCGUACACGAGUUAUGUCCUUGCCUUCGUUGUUAGAACGGAAGGACACUGUUGAGGUUUGUGUUGUCGAUGCAUUACCAGACGAUUGAAGAAGGACAAUUAUGCGAUACAUUGAUAACCCUAACGAAAAAUAUGAUCGACAGACAAGGGCUUAUGCCACAAACUACGUAUUAUACCAGAAGGAGUUGUAUUGAAAAGGUGAGGAUGGGUUACUGCUGUUAUGCCUCGGCCCACAUGAAACUGCUCAAGCAAUGGCAGAAGUACAUGAAGGAAUUUGCGGAGCUCACCAAUCUAGAUGAAAAAUGCAUUGGCUGCUUCAGCAGCAUGGCUAGUUCUAGCCAAGUAUUCUGAAUGAUUGUAUUGAGUACGCAAAGGGUACAGUGUCAAAUCCAUAGGCCUAUACAGAGAGUUCUGGUCGAAUCACUACAUUCGGUCACCAAACCAUGGCCGUUUCGAGGAUGGGCCAUGGAUGUAAUCGGGAAAAUCACACCAUCUUCUGGUGCAACCAAACAUGCGUGGAUACUCGUUGCAACAGACUACUUCACCAAAUGGGUCGAAGCCAAGUCAUAUGCCAAGCUAACCUCUAAAGAAGUUUGUAAUUUCGUUGAAGAAAACAUUGUGACUAGAUUCGGCGUGCCAGAAACAAUCAUAAUAGAUAAUGGUACGAUCUUUACAUCCGACAGGUUUAAGGAAUAUUCGGUGAAUCUAAGGAUUCGACUCGAGCAAUCUACGUCGUAUUAUCGCAGGCAAAUGGACAAGCCGAAGCAAGUAAUAAGGUUCUAAUCGGUAUUCUCGAAAAGAUGAUAAAAGAAAGGCCGGGUAUAUGGCAUUUAAAGAUAAAUGAAGCGUUAUGGGCUUAUCAAACUUCUUUACGGACAGCCACUGGAACGACUCCAUAUGGUUUGACUUAUGGAAACAACGUAAUGUUGCCAGUCGAGUUAAGUAUAAACUCGUUGCGAGUAAUUGAACAAAGUAGUUUGUUUAGCGCCGAGUACAGUUGGGCCAUGAGACAAGAGUUAGAAAAUUUAGAAGAAGCUCGGCUUAAUGCUUAUAACUUAUUAGUGGCACAAAAGAAGAUCGCCGAGGGAGAGUUGGUUUGGCAAACCAUACUACCCGUAGGAAUUAAAGACCCUAGGUUUGGCAAGUGGUUGCCAAAUUGGGAAGGGCCAUUUGUUAUUCAUAAGGUUCUCGGUAAGGGAGCAUACCAUCUUAGGGAUAAAACUAGUGUAGUUCACAAGUUGCCAAUCAAUGACAGGUUUUAAAAAAAUACUAUCCAGUCACAUGGGAGAUUCCGGAAUAAAAGUUCUUUUCAUUAAGUUCGCAAAAAGUUGUACAAAUGGAGUGGGGCGAUCAGUUAUAAUCAAAUACUUCUAGGAUGAUGAAGGUAGGAGAGAUUCAAGAAUGGCCUUCAACUCUAAUUACCGCACCUCGCUCAUCUUGACCUCAGCUUGCCGAUUCCUCUUGUCCAUCUUCAGCUGCUCGACCCGCUUCACGCUAGUUGCAUAGUCAGUUAAGCAAGACUUGCCGCUCGACUCAAAAUCUUUUGCAAGCUCGGAAGCAAUUGCCGACCUUAGAUUUUUGAGUUCGGCAAUUUGACGGUCAAGGUCGGCGAGGGUCUUUUUUUUCGCCUUUAAAACUUUGACUUAUGAACGAAGAGCAUCUCGAGCAACUAUUGCAGCUUUCAAGUCGUCUUCAGCCCGAAGAGCUUUCUCAAAAAUACCAAAAUAUUCUUGGGUUCAUUCCAAGGUAGAAGACGCUUGAGUGAUAGCUUCAGUGCUCAAUUGACCAUCAGUUGCGAGAUCGUUCAAACAUGCACCCACUGAAUCGAAGCCCUGGCAUACGAGAACUUGUGUAGCUACCGAAGAGCCAGCCACCCCUGAAGUACUCGAUAAGAGAGCAUUGAACUCGACUUCCCAUAAAGGCUGCACACGAAAAGAAUUUAAGCGAAAAGAAAAUCAUAAAAGAAUGUAGUAGAAAGAGUUUAUUUUAGACAUGCCGAGAUGAAACUUUGGCCAUGUCUCUUGGUUCGUUGCUUGAACCUAAAGAGCUUAAUGGCCGAGCCUAGUGUUUUAGACUGCUUCUUAAUUCACGCGGCCGAUGAAGGUUAUCUACGUUCGACGGCCACUGAGGUGGCCAGGAAAUAUAGAUAACACCCUUCGGCGCAUAGAAUUUUCAGUGAAAUGAAUAACUGGGCACCUGACAUUUAAUAUUUUUCUCGGUUCAGACUCAUUAUAAUACAAUUGACAAGAGAAAUUAGUCGAGCCUUACAAAAGUCGAAGUCGCUUCUUGAAAGGGAAUGUCGAGGUCUUGGUCCUGCGAGUGAACUAGAGUUUCUGACAUCGCUUCAGGCUCAAUGAAAGGCCUUUUUCCACGAUCGACUGUAGGAGGAUUGACCUGAUCGGUCGCCUCAACCAUAAGGGGAAGAUCAAUGGAAGGAGGUUUGGUUGGUCGAGAACGACUCGCCAGCGGAAUCUCAUCACUCUCGUCAUCCUAAAACAAAAGAAUUGUUAGUACUUUUGAAUUUAAAGAGUGAAGGGAGUUGCCAGUAUAAUCAUACCUCUUCUAAAAUGAUCAUUGAUUAUUUUGGAUUCUUGGGGAGAUUCUUCCCGAUCGAAGGGGUUGCCUCCCCUAGGACGGGUGCUACAGUCUGCCCCGAAGUUGCAGGCGUAUCGACCAGCGGUACAACAACUGGUUUGACCACGACCUCGAUGACCUCAGGGGCCAGGUGAGCUUGGGGUGUCAGGUUGGUUGGAGUUGGCCGUUUCUCCGUUGAGGCUUGGACAACAGGAACAGGAGGAGAGGCACUAGGAGUGGUCGCUUCGGAAGUGUGGUUGGAGAUAACGUGAAUCUCCCGUGCUUCUUUCUUCGCCAAUUUCUUGAUGCGUUUUGUGGGGCGAGGGGCUUCACCUGCCGUCUUGGUGUCAGGACGAGGCCGUUUGCUCGGUGCGUUUUGUGCGGUGGUUUUAGAUUUCUUGGAGGAAGGGGCCAGUUUUUUCUUGGCCACAGCUGGGGCGAUCACGUCUGCCUGUUUCAAUACUCGACCGCCUGAGAAAGCGAAAUCUAAUUAGUAAAAUCGAUUAAGUGUUUGAAGAAUAAAGGUAAAGAUAAUUGUAUACCCUGGGGCGUCUCUUUGGAUUGAGAGGCAAAAGUUUUUUCGGGUCGGUCACCAAAAAUUUUGUUGACUACGUUUUCGACUGAAGCACCAAAAAAGUUGUGGGUAUAUUCUUCCCACCAAUCGUCGAAGGUGUCGAUGCCGAGAGAUUCAAGAACAGUUGGUCGAAGGCGGAAUUUCUUGCACCGUUCCUGAAACUCCUUCUCGGUGUCUUUGCACUUCCUUUCUGAGGAACCAGAGAGGCGUCAUUGGCUUAAAAGGGAGUGGGAAGUAAGUAGAGGCACCGGGCAACCUUGGAGGUAGUUAAGCUGUGGGGUAGCAAAGUGGCGGUGGUAGACUUCCCAACUUGCUCGGCGAGCAUCGCAACUGAGCGCAAGGUCGUGAGUUAACACGAACGAACCCCAGUUUUGACGAAAACCAGCAUCUUCGCUUUCAUUCUAGGUUGAUGUGGGAAGUCUGAUGGAGUGAGGGUAUUCCUGACAACGACAUAUCAAAAAUUCAUCGUCAGAGAAGAUGUUUAGGCCAAAGAAGUGUUUGAAGACUUCGUCAGCUCAGUGAGGAGGCACUGGUCGAGGAGCCAACUGAUGGCCGAGUGCUACAGUGGACUGAAGGUUGGGGAUUUCUGGCCGAAGUGUGGAGAAAUAAACCUGCAGCCAGAGUUAGAAUACCCAGAGAGGUCCAUUCUGGUACGGGUCGAUCUUGGUGGCGGUCGUUUCAGCCAGGUAGCGUAGAAGGUUGGCAAGGAUAGCCGGACUGAGCACCAGAGAAUGACCACUAGCCAGGGCUUCCACCACGGUAUUUUUUCGACCAAACACUUAUUCGACUUGGUACAACAGAUAAACUUGUUGUACCGGUAAAAUAGGAAAGCCUCGUGCUCGCCCCUCCGCAGACUCACCUCCUCUCGGCCAGCAAAAUGGAGGAUGAGGGUGUUGUAGUUAAGAAAAUUCUUAUGCAACUUCUGAACUUCCUCUUUUGAAGGCUCUUGACCUUCUUGUCUCAACGUCUCGACUGCUCGUUCGUUGAAUAGUACCUUGAGGUCGAGGUUUGAUGAGCAUCCAAUAAGGGCAGCGUCUAUUGGAAUGCCAGAAUGAGGAGUCCUGAGGAUAGCCGAGAUGUCGAGGAUGGUGGGGGUGAUAGGGCCGAACGGAAGGACCAUGGUGUUGGUGGCCAAGCACCAGAGGCUUAGAGCUGACAUAAGGAGUUCUUUAUCCAUGGUAAUCUCCAUGGUCGAAACCUUAAUGGCGUCGUGGAUGCUGAGAGCCUCCCAUUCUUUACCAAAGAAUUUUUCCUUUCGUACUACCCAGGCCGCCCAGUUCGCUUUGGUCGAAGGCCAGACUCAUUGAGGCUUUGUCAGGCACCACUUCGACCAAUCAAAUCCUUGCAGCAAAUGUGCCAGGCAAUGUUCUUUGAAUAGGUUGGUGAUGGACAAUGGCACUGCGUCUUUAAAUAGUGGUCCCAGGAUUUGAUGAGUAGUGUUUAGUAGGCCUGGCAAUUGCUGACACGACCCGAUAACCCGACAUGACACGACACGAAAUUAACAUGUGUUCGGGUCGACACGAUAACGAAUCGGGUCGAUAUCGGGUAACUUGAUAAGAACCUGUUAAGAUAAUGGGUUGGUUCGAGUAUACACAUGGGUAACACGAUACACGAUAUGCAAAAUAUUAAUUUUAUAACCCUAAAAAAAAUACUAUAAUAAUUAUAUAUAUUAAAUUAACAAUUUUAUCAUUCAAUUUAUUAAGUGUUAUAUGUACAAAAUAAAUAAAUUUAAAUCUACUUAAUAAAUAUAUAUAUAUAUAUAUAUAUAUCAUUGAACUUGAUGGGAUACGAAUUCUACGAAACUAAUUUCAACGAUCUAACCAUCAAACUUGUUUGUAUAUGCUUCGAGAUCGCAUCAACAAAAAAUUAAAAAAAACAAACAUUCAGAGAUCAAGUAACGGGACAAAACUUUUCGACGGUUAUCAAUGAAAAAUCACGAUUUAAUGGUUAUUUUAACUCUGAUUUUGAUGAUGUUUUACAGCUACACUCGUUGACCCUAUAUGAAUACAAUGAAUGAACUCGAUCUUCAAUUUAAAAUAUUUACACUAAUGGAUACCACAAAAUCUUAUGUUAUACUUAAUGAAAGUUUGAAUAAACUCUUAAGUGUUAGUUAAUCUAUUGUUUUGAUGGGAUAUGCAUUAUACGAAACUAGUUUCAACAAUCCAACCGUCAAACAUAUUUGUAUAUACUUUGAGAUCGCAUGCGCCAAAAAUUGCAAAAAAUAAACAUUCAGAGAUUAAGUAAAGGGACAAAACUUUCCGACGGUUAUAAACGAAAAAUCACAAUUUAACAGUUAUUUUAACUCCGAUUUUGAUGAUUUUUUACAGCUACACUCCUUGAUCCUAUAUGAAUACAAUGAAUGAAUUCGAUCUUCAAUUUAAAAUAUCGACACUAGUGGAUACCACAAAAUCUUAUAUUAUAUUUAAUGAAAGUAUAAAUAAACUCUAAGUGUUAGUGAAUCUAUCAUUUUGAUGGGAUACGUAUUCUACGAAACUAAUUUUAACGAUUCAACCAUUAAACUUGUUUGUGUAUGGUUCAAGAUUGCAUACGCUAAAAGUCACAAAAAAUAAACAUUCAGAGAUCAAGUAACAGGAGAAAAUUUUUCGACGGUUAUCAACGAAAAAUCAUGAUUUAACGGUUAUUUUAACUCCGAUUUUGAUGAUUUUUUAUAGCUACAUUCCUUGACCCUAUACGAAUACAAUGAAUGAACUCGAUCUUCAAUUUAAAAUAUAUUACUCUAGUGGAUAUCACUAAAUCUUAUGUUAUACUUAAUGAAAGUAAGAAUAAACUCUUAAGUGUUAGUGAAUCUAUUGUUUUGAUGCGAUACGCAUUCUACGAAACUAGUUUCAACGAUCCAACCGUCAAACAUGUUUAUAUAUACUUCGAGAUCACAUACGCCAAAGAUUGCAGAAAACAAACAUUCAGAGAUCAAGUAACGGGACAAAAUUGUUCGACGGUUACCAACGAAAAAUCACGAUUUAACGAUUUUUUAACUCCGAUUUUGAUGAUUUUUUACAGCUACUCUCCUUGACCCUAUAUGAAUACAAUGAAUGAACUUGAUCUUCAAUUUAAAAUAUUCACACUAGUGGAUACCACAAAAUCUUAUGUUAUACUUAAUGAAAGUAUGAAUAAACUCUUAAGUGUUAGUGAAUCUAUUGUUUUGAUGGGAUACACAUUUUACGAAACUAGUUUCAACGAUCCAACCGUCAAACAUGAUUGUAUAUACUUUGAGAUCGAAUACGCCAAAAAUUGCAAAAAAUAAACAUUCAGAGAUCAAGUAACGGGACAAAAAUUUUCGACGAUUCUAAACAAAAAAUCACAAUUUAAAAGUUAUUUUAACUCCGAUUUUGAUGAUUUUUUAUAGCUACACUCCUUGACCCUAUAUGAAUACAAUGAAUGAAUUCAAUCUUCAAUUUAAAAUAUUGACACCAGAGGAUACCACAAAAUCUUAUGUUAUACUUAAUGAAAGAUAAAUAAAUUCUAGAGUAAAAGAUUGUUUACUACCCUCAUGUUUCGUGGUUUUCAACAUUUAGUACAUCAAGUUUUUUUUCAACCCAGAGUCAUACCUAAAGUGUAAAUUUUGGGACAGUCUCAUACAUCCGUUAGUCAAACUAUUUAGUUUUCUGUUAACUGAUAACGUGGCGCCCACGUGGACAAUGACUGGGCGCCACGUGUCAUUAAAAAUAUUAAUAUAAAAAAACCGAAUCUGGGAAGAAGAAGAAGAAGAAGAAGAAGAAGAAGAAGAAGAAGAAGAAAAAAACACGAAUCUGGGAAGAAGAAGAAAAAGAAGAAGAAGAAGAAAAAGAAAAUAAAAAGAAGAAGAAGAAAAAAAAAACCGAAUCUGGGAAGAAGAAGAAAAAAAAAAACCGAAUCUGGGAAGAAGGAAACCCGGAAGAAGAAGAAUGAGGAGGAAGAAGAAGAAGAAGAAGAAAAGAAAAGAAAGGAAAAGAAAAACGAAUCUGGGAAUGGGAAGAAGAAGAAGAAGGAGGAGGAAGAAGAAGAAGAAGAAAAGAAAAAAAAAAAAAACCGAAUAUGGGAAGAAGAAGAAGAAAGAGAGGAAAAAAAAAGAAAAGAAGCUAGGGAGGGUGCGGGUUGCAGGAAAGAAAUUUUUUUUUUAAUUUAUAUUUUUAAUAUUUUUAAUGACACGUGGCGCCCAGUCAUUGUCCACGUGGGUGCCACGUCAUCAGUUAACGGAAAACUUAACAAUUUGACUAAUGGAUGUAUGAGACUGUCCCAAAAUUUACACUUUAGGUAUGACUCUUGAAUGAAAAAAACUUGAUCUACCAAAUGUUGAAAACCACGAAACAUGAGGGUAGUAAACAGAGUUUAACCCUAAAUUCUAAGUGUUAGUGAAUCUAUCGUUUUGAUGGGAUACACAUUAUAUGAAACUAACCGUCAAACUUGUUUGUGUAUGCUUCAAGAUUGCAUACGCUAAAAGUCACAAAAAAUAAACAUUCACAGAUCAAGUAACAGAACAAAACUUUUCAAUGGUUAUCAACGAAAAAUUAUGAUUUAAAGGUUAUUUUAACUCCGAUUUUGAUGAUUUUUUUAUAGCUACACUCCUUGACCCUAUACGAAUACAAUGAAUGAACUCGAUCUUCAAUUUAAAAUAUUUACACUAGUGGAUACCACAAAAUCUUAUGUUAUACUUAAUGAAAGUAUGAAUAAACUCUUAAGUGUUAGUGAAUCUAUUGUUUUGAUAGGAUACGCAUUCUACGAAACUAGUUUCAACGAUCCAACACAUUUUACAAAACUAGUUUCAACGAUCCAACCGUCAAACAUGAUUGUAUAUACUUUGAGAUCGAAUACGCCAAAAAUUGCAAAAAACAAACAUUCAGAGAUCAAGUAACGGGACAAAAAAUUUUGACGGUUAUCAACGAAAAAUCAUGAUUUAACGGUUAUUUUAACUCCGAUUUUGAUGAUUUUUUACAACUACACUUCUUGACCCUAUAAGAAUACAAUGAAUGAAUUCAAUCUUCAAUUUAAGAUAUUUACACUAGUGGAUACCACAAAAUCUUAUGUUAUACUUAUUGAAAGUAUAAAUAUACUCUAAGUGUUAGUGAAUCUAUUGUUUUGAUGGGAUACGCAUUCUACGAAACUAAUUUCAACGAUCCAACCAUCAAACUUGUUUGUAUAUGCUUCAAGAUCGCAUACGCCAAAAAUCGCAAAAAACAAACAUUCAAAUAUAAAGUAACGGGACAAAACUUUUCGACGGUUAUCAACUAAAAAUCACGAUUUAACGGUUAUUUUAACUCUGAUUUUGAUGAUGUUUUAUAGCUACACUCCUUAACCCUACAUGAAUACAAUGAAUGAAUUUGAUCUUCAAUUUAAAAUAUUUACACUAGUGGAUACCACAAAAUCUUAUGCCAUGAUGAUUGAUGAAAAUUGAGGAUUUUGUAAAAGGAAUAACAUGCAAGCUUUGAGUUCCAUUGGCAAGGUUUAAACUUUUGAGAAAGGCUUCACAACCUUGAAAGCAAAAACUUUUUCAUUUUGCGUAUCCUUGCACAUUUAAUAUUUUGUAAUAGACUAGUAGUGUAUGGAUGUUUGUUUAUUAGGCUCUUAUUUUCGAGUGUAGAUGUAGUACUUAAACGACAAAUGUGUUUUAAUGUUUUGAAGUAAUAUUUAUGUGGCAAUGUGUGGUAUGUGCAAAUUUGAGAAGAAAAAAAAUAUUUUUCUUAACAAGUCUUAAUGGGUCAUAACAGGUCGGGUCACUUUACCCAUUGGGUAAAGUGACCCGACCUGUUAAGGAUCCGUUGAGAUAACGGGUGUGACACGACACGACCCGUUAAGAUAACAGGUAUUACACGAAAACAACACGAACACGAUAGACACGACCCGUUUACCAGGCUUAGUGUUUAGGUCACUCUCGAAGUGCAAAGUCUUGAUGGCGUUCCGAUCGAUGAAGUCCUUGCACUUGUUGCUCUCGUUGGAGAGCUGGGAGAUGAAGGAGGCCAUUGAAGAAGGCUUAAAGAUUUCUGAGAUGAAAGCUUGGGAUUUUCUAGGUUUUGAAAGUUUUGAAAGCAAAGUGGCAAGGAAGUUUCAAGGGUUUUGGAAAGCGUAAGGUACAAAUGGAAAGGAUUCGGGUAUUUAUAGGCAUUUGGGAAGGAAGGCUAAACGUUUGAUUUUCAAAAUUAUGGAUAGAAUCAAGCGGGAAAGUUGCUAAUCAUUGUAGAUAUUCAAAGAAUCUAGGCGAAAAGACCAAGGUUUUCGCUGUUCGAGGACGCACGAUUGCGUGUUGCGGCGGGUUUAGUGCAAGAGAGACAUUUAGGCGGUCGCAUGUUUUUGAGGGUCAUGAUUAAGGCCUGCUAGGUUAACCAGGGGACCAACAUGUGGCAGGACGGUUGGGAGAAUCGAGAUCGUGGGUUUAUGUCUCAUAAAUGCGUAUGGUGGUAUUUCUCAAGAGGAUUCAGUGUUUGUCUUUAGGUCAGUUUCGCUUCUUCAAGGUCGAGGCUCGAACCAAGGAGGGUAGGUCGAGGACCUCAGAAUCGAGGGGGCAAUGUUUGGGCCCAAAAUAUUGGUUUGGGCUGAGUUUAGAAUUGUUUUCGACCAGAGGCCAUACUUAAGAGUAGCUGGGGGUCAUCCGACUUAUGGGCCACAUAGCCAAGGUCGGCCGUGUCUUAUUAGGAAUCCAUGGGUAGUUGAAUCCUGAUAUGAGAAGGAGUUUCAACAGGAUCAGGAUGUUGAAGUUUGGGAUUGAAUGCGGCCUGAUAAGGGGGUUGAGUUCAAAGUCCUAGUAUGAGUAGGACUUGCCGAUAUAAGGUUGGAUCGGGGGAAGGAGUUCUAAUCCGAGUAUGGUUGUGAUUUGAUCGGAAGCAGGUUGACUACUAUAAAUAGAGGGAGAAGGACAUCAUUAAGGCUCUCUCCAAUUCAACACACAAACUGCCCUGCGCAAACCUUCGCUUUCGCGAAACCUCUCAACAACCUUGAGAUUUUAAUUUUCUUUUUCCGUCGACACAUCUUCAGUUUGGAUAAACAGCACUGUGAAGGCAACCGGUGGUACCUUCAGUUUGGAUAAACAACAUUGUCGUUGUAGAACCAGUCGACCACGGAACACCUUAAGUUUGGAUAAACAGCACUGUGUCGAGGUCGACUGGUUAUCUAUCCAAGUCUCGAUCGAAAAAUACUUUCGGGUCUUUAUUGGCAAAGGUCAUCUCAUUAGCCUUUUCGGCGGGGUGAGGUGUUACAGUUUACUAGGGCUCGGCACAUUGAACGCCGAGUUACUUUAUGAUUGGAUACUCACAAGUAGGUUUUAGAGUUCGGCAUUCUGACGGCCGAACCACGUUCACCAUCAAGACAUAUAUUUGUUUUGAGUAUCUGUGCCCCUAUACAUUGGUGUUGAUUCGGCGUGCUUAUACUCUUACGAAUAUAAUCACUGUGACCGAAUCCGACGCUGACGAUUUGUGAACUUCGCAGAACUAGCAGCCUUGUUUUCAAGCUCUAGAACCCGAAGGCUGAAAGUGUUCCUUCCUCGACCACAAUCACAAGAUUGAGAAGUCAGUAGCGCACCCGACGCAACAUCAACAUAUUUUACUCCUCGGCCGAGCUUGGCUGACGAGUUGGCACGCCCCGCAUCAACCAAAUGACGUAGUUAGCUCACUAGUUACUCGGCCUGCGCGCCACAUAGAUUUGGUAGUUUUUAGGGUCAACAACGACAUAUAUGCACCAACUUGAGCGGGAGUGUUGACUUUUGUGUAUAUUCAUGUAAUCUUGGAAUUCUUAGCAUAGUAUGAUUGCAUGUAAUUAUUUCUUUCCUUAUUGAAAUGAUUGUAACAUCCUAUAAAUUUCUCUUUGAGAGAUAAAUAGACACACAAUACUAUUCCAAAAGCAUUCUUUUCUAAUAUAAAGUCUAAACUAAUCUAAAGUAUUCUUAUGAACAAAUAAUGAAUGCAGCUAAACAUCAAUCAAUCAUUGUUGUCAUGUCAUGUUUUUGCAACUUGCAAAGAAAGAACCAUCCAUAAUAAUUAACCGGUGUAGUGGAUACUGGCCUAUCUGCGUGGAACUUGUGCUUUGGUUUUGGUCUAUGUUGUUUUUUUCAAACUGCAAAUUCAUUUCUCAUUAGAAAAGAAAUAUCUCAUUAACUCAUUAACUCAAGGGAAAGCAAGGAGGAGAUAAUACUUCGGCUUGGAGAUGAGGCCCCAACAAUAGGGACACCUCCUCCAACUACAUAUGUCUCUAGGAAGUGUAGAUAUUCUUCUUGACGUCAAGUAGGAGAGAAACGCCAUCCACUAUAAUCGUACUUGUUUGAUAGGACUCUUCUACACUUGGAGGAUUCUUCUACGUUUAUUAAUUGUAUGUUAGAUUAAGAAUAUAAUUUCAUGUAAGAAUACACGAUUUAAUGCCUGGUCAUGGAUUAAGUCAUUUUUUUUUAGAUAAAGAAUGACGACCUUUAGCAUUGGCAUAGUAAUUGAAUAAAAAUUGCCCUCAUGCUUGCCCCUAAAGUACUAUUGUUGAUCUUGUGUAGUUGCAAAUAUUUAAUUGUGUUUGGUUUUAUCUGUUUUGUAUGUACUCUGAUCAUACAUAAGUAAACAUUCGUCCAAAGACAGUUUGAUUAGCAGAUUAUAACUCAAGUAGUUAAGAGCAUUCAGUUCUGCACUUGAGAUCCAUGAUUCAUUCCACCCUUCCCAAUGUCAAUCAUACAAUAAGGAAAGAUAUCGUCUCCGGAUCUCUUCCUCUAAAACCAUCAAAUCAAGUGAUUUGAGCCCUUAAAAUUUGAUCCAACGACUAAAAACAAAGAUCCCUUUUAAAAGUUAUAACAAUUUUAGCCGUUGGAUCAAAUUUUAAGGGUCCGGAUCACUUGAUUUGGUGAUUUUGGUGGAAGAGAUUCGGAGAGGAUCUCUUUCCAAUGAAUAAAUAAAGUUGACCAGUUCCAUCUGAUCUUUGAUGGUAUGCACCAUGUUCUGAAACAUAUAGUACAACCCAUUAAAAAUGAUGAAGAUCAAUGGUUUGAGGCCAAGUGUUAAAAACUGCAGAUUGACUAUUCUGUGUUCUAAAGUCAAGUCAAGAAGUCUUGAUCAAUAACGACAUGCAACAACAUAUUAAUUCGAUUGCAAAAAUUUCAUCUUUGUUGUAAAUAGUAUAAUAAUGUAUGCCCACAUGCAUACAGUAGACAUAUCAUAUGCUUAAUAGGGUUUUUGUUUGUUUCCAUGGUGAUGCUCUAUAAAUAGAGCUUUACGAACGUUCAACUGAGUAGAGAGAAAAGGAAGAGAAAAAUAUCUAAUAGUAAUAAUAUACAUUACUUCCUCUGCAACAGCUUGUAUUGGUAUAAUACUCUGCAACUGCUUCAUUCCUAUCCCGAAUAAAGGUUAUCUUUCUAUAACUUUUACAUUUUUAUAACACGUUAUCAGCACGAGUCUCUAAGUAUAACCAUGUCUCAUUUACAUUCACUAAACAAUAAAGGAAAUCAUUCUCUCAUUUCUCUCCGCCGAACGAAAAAAAAAAAAAUGUUUCCUCUAAGGUUUUUCCUGUUCAUCUUCUUCAUCUGCCUCAACUGCGUGAUAUAUCCUCGCGACGAACUAUUUGCUCCAUGCCUGCUCGUAGUUCUCCAACUAGCGGUUACAUACAUCUUUGAUUACUUGUUUGGUUUGGAUAUUGAUUACUAACAUAAUAUUUAUAUUGAUUUUACUGCAAUCCAAGAUGGUGCGGUACAAUCGCCCACCUUGAACUGCAAAUUUCAUCUUACUGCGAUCCAAGAUGGUGCGGUAUCAUCGCCUAUCUUGGACUGCAGAUCUACUUUUACUGCAAAUUUCAGGUGCAGCGGUAUAAUCGCCCUCCUUGCUCUUCAAAUUUAAAUUUACCUGUUAUUUAAUUUUACUGCAAAUAAAGGUGGAGCGGUAUAAUCGCCCUCCUUGCUCUUCAAAUUUAAAUUUACCUGUUAUUUAAUUUUACUGCAAAUUUCAGGUGGAGCGGUAUAAUCGCCCUCCUUGCUCUUCAAAUUUAAAUUUACCUGUUAUUUAAUUUUACUGCAAAUUUCAGGUGGAGCGGUAUAAUCGCCCUCCUUGCUCUUCAAAUUUAAAUUUACCUGUUAUUUAAUUUUACUGCAAAUUUCAGGUGGAGCGGUAUAAUCGCCCUCCUUGCUCUUCAAAUUUAAAUUUACUUGUUAUUUAAUUUCAUUGCAAUUUUAGGUGGUGCGGUAUAAUCGCCCUCCUUGUUCUCCAAAUUUAAAUUUACUUGUUGUUUAAUUUCAUUGCAAUUUUAGGUGGUGCAGUAUAAUCGCCCACCCUGCUCUGCGUAUUUCAAUUUUCUUGCUACUUGAGUGGUGUGGAAUAAUCGCCCAUUCCAUGUUACAUUCUUUCAAUGAGAAUGGUGCGGUACAAUCGCCCUUCUCAUUCACCCUGAAAAUCUCGAGCCAGAAGUUUCGAGUGCUUAUCAUUUUGGCCUGAAGAUCAAAAUGAAAAAUUUGUAAGAACCAGAAGUUCUAACAUCACAUUCCUCUAGGAAUACAUAUUACUACAAGUUCUUACACAUCUCAUUUUCUUUCAGAAAAGAAAAUGACGAACUUGGCUAAGCUUGAAUAUGCUGCCCUGGACAUUACCGGGAAGAAUUACCUUACUUGGGUACUUGAUACCAAGAUCCAUCUGGAAGCAGGGAAUCUUGGAGAUACCAUCAGGGAAGAAAGCAGCUCAUCUUCUCAAAAUCGGGCGAAGGCUAUGAUCUUUAUUCGCCGCCAUCUUGAUGAGGCACUAAAGAGUGAGUACUUAACGGUUGAAGAUCCGUUAGCUCUCUGGGAGGCCUUACGAAGCAGAUAUAAUCACCAGACAACGGUGAUUCUUCCAAAAGCUCGCUAUGAGUGGUCUCACCUGAGAAUUCAGGAUUUCAAAUCAGUGGCGGAGUACAAUUCUGCGUUGUUCAGGAUUACCUCUCAGAUGAAGCUCUGUGGGGAUACCAUUACUGAUGAAAUAUUGCUGGAAAAGACUUACAGCACAUUUCAUGCCAAUAACGUGCUCCUGCAGCAGCAGUAUAGAGCGCGAGGCUACACUGAAUACAACCAGCUGAUAUCUGUGCUCCUGGUAGCUGAACAGAACAAUGAGCUCCUGAUGAAAAACCAUAAUUCCCGACCUACUGGAUCUGCACCAUUCCCAGAAGUAAAUGAUACUUCCCUCGAAGUGAACGCCACAUCCUCUGGUGGUAAUUAUCAUAAACAAGGACGUGGCCACAAACGAGGUCGAUGGAAUAAGAAAGGCAAGAACCAUGGUGGUCAGUUUCACAACCAGGUUCAGAGGCAUAAUUCUGGCCCGAGCUUCAAAAAUGUGAAUCGUCACAAAGGCAAAGCUAACAUGACCAAUGCUCCCAGGAACUCUGAAGGAGCUUGCCAUAGGUGUGGUGGCAAUGGGCAUUGGGUGCGAACUUGUCGUACCCCAAAACAUCUGGUGGAGUUGUAUCAAGCCUCCCUCAAGAAGAAGGGUGUCGAGACCAAUUUUCUCGACCAGGCUAAACCAAUGGAUAUACCUGAUCCAGUGUUUGAUUUAUCAGGGCAAUUUGACGCAACUCACCUAGAUGUUUCAGACUUCAUUACGGAAAGGGGGAAUGAAGUAUAUCGGUCCGACUAAAUCGUUUAUGUUUGAUGUACUUUUAUUAUGCUGAACUUGUUGUCUAAAACUAGUUUUUCAGAUUCAAUAAAAAUGGCAUGUAAAUUUCCUGUUAUAAAUUGUUUGUUAACUGUGAUUCCAUUUACUCAGAAAGCAUGGAUAAAAACUGUGGUUAUUCUCAGAACAUAAGAAAUGGCGGAGAUAUUUGUCUUGCAGACAGUGCAACCACACAUACAAUACUUCGUGAUCGAAAGUAUUUCUCAAGCUUAAUGCUUACAAAAAUCGGGGUAACAACAAUAUCAGGACCUUCAGAUGUGAUUGAAGGCUCAGGGAAAGCCCAGAUUAUGUUACCAAAUGGAACAAUAUUAUCCAUACAAAAUGCAUUGUAUGCUACUCGAUCUACUCGAAAUUUGUUGAGUUUCAAAGACAUACGUCUAAAUGGAUACCACAUUGAAACGAAAAGUGCAAAAAAUGUGGAGUAUCUAUGCAUUACCUCCAAUGAUACCCAGAAGCGUAUAUUGGAGAAGUUGCGUGGUUUUUUCGAGUGGAUUAUAUUAUACAUACAUAAGGACAGUUGAAUCACAUACUAUCAUGAACCAGAAGUUCACUGAUUCAAAGGUUUACAUGCUUUGGCAUGACCGUCUGGGUCAUCCAGGAUCCACCAUGAUGCGUAGGAUCAUUACCAACUCUAAUGGACAUCCAUUAUUGAGCAGAGACAUUGCUAUCUCAAAUGAUAACCCUUGCAAGGCUUGUUCUCAAGGGAAGUUGGUAAUUAGACCAUCACAACUAAAGGUUGAUGCUGAAUCCCCAUCAUUUCUACAAAGAAUUCAAGGGGAUAUAUGUGGACCUAUUCAACCAUCUUGUGGACCAUUUCGAUAUUUUAUGGUUUUGGUUGAUGCAUCCACUAGAUGGUCACAUGUUUGUCUCUUGUCUACUCGGAAUGUAGCUUUUGCGAGACUUCUUGCUCAGAUAACUAAGUUACGAGCACAAUUCCCAGAUUAUCCCAUUAAAUCAAUCCGACUUGAUAACGCUGGUGAAUUUACGUCUCAAACCUUUGAUGAUUACUGCAUGACAUUGGGCAUUGAUGUUGAACACCCUGUUCCUCAUGUCCAUACUCAAAAUGGCUUAGCAGAAGCAUUGAUCAAGCGGCUUCAGUUAAUAGCCCGCACUCUGCUUAUGAAAACCAAAUUGCCAGUUUCUGCAUGGGGACAUGCCAUUCUACAUGCUGCAUCAUUGGUUCGAUUGAGACCUAUAGCCAACCACCAAUACUCCUCAAUACAACUCGUGUUUGGACAUCAGCCAAACAUUUCACAUUUACGAGUUUUUGGUUGUGCUGUUUAUGUGCCUAUUGCACCCCCGCAACGCACUAAAAUGGGACCUCAGCGUAGACUGGGAAUUUAUGUGGGUUUUGAUUCACCAUCUAUUAUUAGAUAUUUGGAACCCUUGACAGGUGAUAUGUUUACAGCUCGUUUUGCUGAUUGUCAUUUUGAUGAGACAGUCUUCCCAUCGUUAGGGGGAGAAAAGACCGUUCCAGAAGAACGGAAAGAGCUGACAUGGGUUGUUCCCACCUUGUCUCAUUUUGAUCCUCGAACCUUUCAAUGUGAAAAUGAAGUGAAAAGGAUCGUUCAUCUUCAAAGCAUUGCCAAUCAAAUGCCAGAUGCAUUUAAUGACGCUAUGAAAGUGACAAAAUCGCAUAUACCAGCUGCAAAUGCACCUGCCAGAAUUGAUGUCCCUGUUGGACAAAAUAAAGUGGCAGCGAAUGAUUCAUUUGGUGCACGCUUGAAGCGUGGUAGACCACCAGGUUCAAAAGAUUCAGCCCCUCGGAAGAGAAAGACGAGGGCACAACUGAAUCCAAAUGAAAUCAUUCAGGAAGAGAGAGUCAAUGACAAAUCCACAAUUCAUGCCUCUGGACUUCCAGAAGAAGAAAAUGGCCCUGAAGAGACAGAAGUACAUGAAAGCAAAGAAAUCUCCAUAAAUUAUGCAUGUACUAAUGAAUUGUGGGAUCGGAAUGAAAUAAUCAUUGACGAUAUGUUUGCAUUCGCAGUAGCCACUGAAAUCAUAUUAAGUGAUGAUAUUGAGCCCCGCUCUGUUGAUGAAUGCAAACAGAGACAAGAUUGGCCUAAGUGGAAAGAUGCAAUCCAGGCAGAAUUAAAUUCCUUGGAAAGACGAAGUGUUUUUGGACCAGUAGUCCAAACCCCAACUGAUGUAAACCCCGUAGGUUACAAAUGGGUAUUUACAAGGAAACGCAAUGAGAAAAACGAGAUUGCUAGAUACAAAGCACGACUCAUUGCACAAGGCUUUUCACAAAGACCUGGAAUUGAUUAUGAGGAGACAUACUCUCCUGUAAUGGACGCAAUUACGUUCCGUUACUUAAUAAGUUUGGUGAUUUCAGAAAAACUUGACAUGCAACUUAUGGAUGUCAUCACCGCGUAUCUAUAUGGAGAUUUAGAUACUGACAUAUAUAUGAAAGUCCCAGAAGGACUUAAGUUGCCUGAAGCAACAAACAAACCACGGGGUAUGUUCUCAAUCAAAUUAAGGCGAUCACUAUAUGGGCUGAAACAAUCUGGGCGAAUGUGGUAUAAUCGUCUUAGUGAGUAUUUGAUUAGAGAAGGAUAUAUCAACAAUGUCAUCUGCCCUUGUGUGUUCAUUAAGAAAUCCAACUCUGGAUUUGCUAUAGUGGCAGUAUAUGUUGAUGAUAUGAACUUAGUUGGGACUCCUGAAGAGCUCCAUAAAACUGCUGAAUAUCUGAAAAGCGAAUUUGAAAUGAAAGACCUUGGGAAAACCAAAUAUUGUCUAGGCCUGCAGAUCGAGCAUUGUAUUAGUGGAAUUUGGUCCAUCAAUCAGCUUACAUUGAAAAAAUACUGAAGCGAUUUGGCAUGGACAAGGCUUAUCCACUUAGCACCCCAAUGGUUGUUCGUUCUUUAGACGUUAAGAAAGAUCCAUUCCGUCCAAAAGAAGAUGAUGGACUGGUCCUUGGUCCAGAAGUACCAUAUUUGAGCGUAAUAGGUGCUUUAUUGUAUUUAGCACAAUGUACUAGACCAGAUAUAGCUUUUUCAGUUAACUUGUUAGCCAGGUACAGCUCUGCUCCAACAAUUCGUCAUUGGAAGGGAGUCAAAGAUGUUCUACGAUACCUUCGUGGGACAACAGAUAUGGGUCUCUUCUACUCAGACAAGCCCACAAAUGAACAAAUCCUUGUUGGAUACGCCGAUGCUAGUUUUCUCUCUGAUCCGCAUAAAGCCCGCUCACAAAAUGGAUAUGUGUUCACUAAUGGAGAUACUGCAAUUUCAUGGCGAUCAACGAAGCAAACGCUAGUUGCAACAUCUUCCAAUCAUUCGGAAAUAAUUGCUCUACAUGAAGCAAGUCGUGAAUGUUCUUGGUUAAGAUCAAUGAUCCAUCACAUCCGGAAUUCAUGUGGUCUACCUUCAAAGACAGACACUCCAACUGUCAUCCACGAAGAUAAUGCAGCCUGUGUCGCCCAGAUGAAGGAAGGAUUUAUCAAAGGUGAUAAGACUAAACACAUAUCUCCAAGAUUUUUCAGUGCACAUGAGCUUCAGAAGGCUAAAGUUAUUGAAGUCAGACAAAUCCGUUCCAAUGAAAAUUUAGCAGACUUGUUCACCAAGUCUCUACCAAAGUGCAUAUUUCAGAAACUGGUGCAGGGAAUCGGAUUACGUCGGCUUUCAAAUUUAAAGAAUGCAGAAUCAGGGGGAGAUCCAAUUCAGGGGGAGCAUCCAUGAUACAUGCAUGUUGUACUCUUUUUCCUUCGCUUAGGAUUUUUCCCACUGGGUUUUUCCUAUCAAGGUUUUAACGAGGCAACAUAAGCAUGCUCAAUACCAUCCGGAUAAAAGUUGUACUCUUUUUCCUUCGCUAUGGUUUUUUUUUUCCCACAGGGUUUUUCCAAGCAAGGUUUUAAUGAGGCAACUGAUGUUGAUAUGUGGGCAUCCAAGGGGGAGUGUUGUAAAUAGUAUAAUAAUGUAUGCCCACAUGCAUACAGUAGACAUAUCAUAUGCUUAAUAGGGUUUUUGUUUGUUUCCAUGGUGAUGCUCUAUAAAUAGAGCUUUACGAACGUUCAACUGAGUAGAGAGAAAAGGAAGAGAAAAAUAUCUAAUAGUAAUAAUAUACAUUACUUCCUCUGCAACAGCUUGUAUUGGUAUAAUACUCUGCAACUGCUUCAUUCCUAUCCCGAAUAAAGGUUAUCUUUCUAUAACUUUUACAUUUUUAUAACAAUCUUUGCAAAACUUUGCACAGAAAGAUCAACAAUUCGGUUUUCCAUUGAUAGAGAUAUUGAAAAAUGGAGUCUCUACAAUAGUCCAACUCUUUGGUAUUGGGCCCACAAAAUUGAGAAGUGGAUUUUCAGGUUGCAAUUUUUUUUGACAAGAGCGAUGGCGGUAUUUCAUUAAUCAUUACAAACAAAUACAUAGAAGUCAAUUGGGUACAUUUCUCCAAUGACCAAUACAUUGAUCUGGAGUGAAUUUGCACAAAGAAUCAAUUAAUUAAAAACCCCUACACGGCUAUCACAAGCAAGGUGCACCAAUACAAAUUUGUCACAAGAAUGAUACACGCAACAAACCAAUACUAGUGCACACACCGAUGUUCACUGAUGAGCGAGGCCACACAAAGUCAUCAUAGGAGAGCGAAACCACCUAAAGUCACAACUGAAAGACGAAACCACAAAAUCAUUGCUUGAAGGCGAGACCACAUCAAUACGCUCAUAGCGAGUCCACAUAUUCCGCCAAAUGCGGCACAAACAAAAUCUACACUAAUCCAAUAAUAGAAUCCACCGGUCCCCUAAUCUUGGUGGAAGACAAGGACACACAAUCGAAGACCACUUGCAACUUCACCACAUAAGUGAGAUUCGUAGCUUCUACGAGACAAGCAAGCAGAACCGCCACAAAUCUGGGUGCCUCAGGCAGUGCAGCCACACGAGAGUGUCACCACAGGUGGAUUCGACCCACCAACAACCACGAAUCCAAAUCCAAAAUCAUGAAUCAAGCCUCCAUUUAAGGAAAAUACCUCGGGAGAAGGCAAGGGACCGAAUCUAGGUGGGAGGCACCAAAUGCUUUGAUACCAUUCUACCAUGCUCCAAACUCGGGUCAGUAGAAAAUUCAAACUCGAAUCUGGAACACGAGCUAAAAAUUAAAUAAAUAAAAAUAAACUAAAACCUGAUGAAAAUAAAUUCCUCUUGGAAAGAAACUCAAGAAUUGUCAUGCCCCGAUCCCGACAUACGUCCAGGAUCGACACGUGACAUCACCAAAUACUCGUAUCUCAACAUACCCCGCCUCCGGGAUAUGGCAUACCACAACUCGAUAAUCAAAUCACAUAGUAAUUUAUCUUAUACUUUAUGGCUGCAUCUAAUCUCCUCGUUAGAUUGCCUACGUACCCUCAUUAGGGAUCAAACCAUUCGUAGUUCGUCGUUCACUAAUUUAGACAUUUAUUCCAAUGCGUUCUAACAGGAAUACAUAGCAUUUUGUAAUUAAUUAUUAGAACUUGACAUGCAUGACAAUACCAAGUUCAAGGCUACAAAACAAACCAACAGGUAGUUCAAGAUUCUCAUUCCAUCCAUCAUAUAAAUUCCAUGUUUUCAGCAUGAUACUUCCAUCCACAACAUGUAACAUAUCAAAUAGCCAACGAUACACAUAUUAUUCUCAAGCCACAUUCCACAAUCCCGUCUAUUAAUCAAUUCAUGAAUCAAAGAUACAUGAUCUUAGCAUUUAAUUAUGUUAAUCAAUGAAUGCAGUAACAUAUCAUUUCACAAAUUUAACCAAGGAACUCUAUAUAAUUUCCUACUUGUAUUAUGAGCAAUAACAUGGUAAAUCUAUUUGAUAUUCACAAGGUCUAUUGUGGGUAAUUCUCAUUCACUCGAAUAUAGGGUUCUAGACUAACCUUAUGGGAAUGAGCGAAAGCAAGAAUUCCGGACCACUCAACGGAAUCCAACAACACCGGGUUCCGGACCACUCAACGGAACCAGAGUAUUAAGCGGUUUCUCAUAAUCUACCCAAACCUGUCAUAGGUUAAAUCAGUGCCUACAUCAUGGAAAUGGUGCACCAUCCAAACGGAGCUCGGGUGAGUGACAAUAAUACAAGUAUGUGAUAUUCAAUAAAAAGAAAGACCCUCGAUCACAGUUUAUAAACCUCAAAUAUAAGUGCAUAAAUAUGAAAACAUAGUCAAGUCUCUAACAACUCCAAAUGAGUUACCCAGACAUCCAACAGUUUUACCCAUUCAAACCACCAAGAUUCUUCAAAACCAUCGUUCAUAUGUACAUUAAAAACUAGGGCUUGAGGGAUGCAGUUUGGCCAAAGCCUACAUAAGUAACCAAACAGGAAGUGGCCCCCUAAAGCGGAUUAACCAAGCAAAGCCACCCCUAAGAUAGUAACCAAGUAGGCAAUGAUCCCCCCCAAUGCAGAUUAACCAAGCGGAGUCACUCCUACAGCUGUUAGGAAGUGAUCACCUAAUACGGAUUAACCAAGCAUGAUCAUUCCUAAGCAUACAUGGCCAUAAGGAUCACCCAACACGGUUUAACCAAGAGCAACCCAUAUAUAGUAUGGUCCCCCAACGCGGAUUAACCAAGCAGGACCACUAGUGACCCCCCAACGCUGAUUAACCAAGCAGGGUCAAGAUAACCAAGUAGGUAGUGACCCCCUAACAAAGAUUAACCAAGCAAAGUCACACCUACAUAACUGUUAGGUAGUGAUCACCCAAUGCGGAUUAACCAAGCAUGAUCACCCCUAAGUAUAAAUGACCAUAAGGAUCGCUCAACGCAGAUUAACCAAGCGUGAUCCAUAUAUAGUAUGAUCCCCUAAUGCGGAUUAACCAAGCAAGACCACUAGUGACCCCCCAAUGCGGAUUAACCAAGCAGGGUCUUAGUCCCCUACUAGCCCUCAAUUUACAAAACAUUUCAAUAUAAAAUUUGAAUCACUUUUUCACAAAUAUUACCAAUCCAUGAAUCAAAUCAUAUUUAAUAAAAAUAGAUCGAUGGCCAAUUAUAAAAGAAUCACAUUUUAACAGAAAACACAUUUAUAAAAUCAUGUCAUAUCCACAAAGGAUAUUAAUACAAAGAAUCGGGUAACCACCAUAUCACAUAUAUUAAAGUCAGUCACCGAGACAAAUCCGCAAAUCUUCACUGAGUCUCUAGUAAUACUAAUUUUAGUAAUUCAAAUGGUUCAAGACCUGUUGACCAAAAGUCAACGGUGGGAUCCACACCCUAGCAAUUUAAUCCGGAAGAUCCGCACAUUAUAAUCUAGAUCCGUAACUUCCUAAGGUCCACAUUAUGCUCAAAGAACAACAUGCUAAAAUCUCAUCGCGAUCCAACGGUCAGAUCUCCGCUAAUCACAAAUUCAAGUGGGUCAAUAAUUAAUUUUUCUAACUUAAAAGUCUUGUCGGGAUGAUCCAUACUUCGGAUUCCUGAUCCGUCAAUUCCAGCUAUCCUCAAAUAUUAUGUUCUAUAAUGCAUUAAGGUUUGGUGACAAUCUAACAGUCGGAUUGUCAAUUCAUAUUUUGAUCAAGUAAGGUAUCGUAAUGAAACUAAGUUCAAACAAUCAAAUUACGUCAUACGGAUAUCAAACAUGAACUCAGGGCAUCUAAUAGCACUUAAAAAAAUAUCGUCAGCCCACUGGCCACGCGCCACCGCGGGUGGCGGUCAACCGUCCCGAUUCGUCGGAAAAUUCAACUAUUUCCAAAAUUUAUCAAAUUUCACAGAAAUGUAGAUCUCAAUGAAUGGAGUAAGUUUCAUACAUGUGGCCAAGUCCAAUUUGGCCUAGAAAAGCUCCAAUUUUACCCAAACCCGGCCGGAACCCUAGAAAUGGGUGUGCCUCGAUCUGUCACCAUCGAUGCUCCGCCGCCCCCAGAACUGUUUGGGCUUUGUUCCUGGCCUCUAGAGAAGUGCUUUGGUGGUGGUAACUGGUGGAGAUUGUUCCACAAAUGGUGGAUCGCCGACAAACUUCCCUCAUACCCACUAGUGCGGUUAUCACGAAAUCGACCUAAUUUCCAUCAAAUUUGGAGUGUAAAGGAAAGAUGGAACAAUAAGGAAUGUUUUCUAGGUGAUUAAAUCAUGUGGUUCUCCGGAAAAACCGACAAAAACCAUCGGAGAAGACAAACGGAACCGGCCGGAUCGGGAUAAAGGGAACGGGUCCAUCCUCCCGUGCCUUUCCCCUCUCCCUCAUUUUCCUCAUUUCCUCCCCUUUCAUCUCAACCAUCCAUCUCUCUCCUUUCUCUUCUUUCCUUCCAUCCCAGCCACACAAGUGGCUUCACAAAUCUUUGCUCCAAAAAUCUGGAGCAUUCCAAAUUAAAGAAAAUUACCAAAAUGUCUUUAACUUUAAAUGUUAAUAACUCUUUCAUUAUAACUCAGUUUCACGAACGGUUUGCUCCUACACGUUCGUGAGAUCAAGCUCUAUUCAAAAAUAUAAAUUGUAACCUCGAAAGGUCUACGGAUUUUAAAGAUUGAUUACGAAAAUUCAACCCCGAUAAUUAUUUGAUUUAAUUCCAAAAAUCAAUGAAAUUAAAAUUAACUAAUAAAAAUAACGUAAACGUGAAAUAUGAAUUUAAAUAACGAGAUACGUAAUUAAUAGUGAAAUUUCGAGGACGGGAUUUCACAAGAAUUCUUUACAAGGCUACAAAGAAAAUAAAUAAAUUAAACUUCUAGAGAUCUCAAAUCUAAUUCAAUCUCAUUCCGCCUACUCUCAUGACUGUCUAGUUCGAAAACCUGCAUAACAAUAAAGGGGUGAACUUCAACAACUCACUAGGGACAUGAUCUUAAAUAGUAAAAUAACCAAGCUAAAUUAGAUGUCAUGGCAUCAUACACAUUAGAUAUCAAAUCAUUAUUGAUAACAAUGCAUGAAUGCAACGUAAAGCACUUUACCUAUACUUGUUAAUUCGUAUAACAAAACACACAGACCUCGUACGUCUCAUUCCGUACUUAUACCACUUGGUCCUGAGUGCUAAGUUAUAUAAAAUUUCUACCGAUCCCAAGCCCGGGUCGUGACACCUAACCAGGUCAACAGACCUGGUGAUCGCACCUGCCUGCUGGCGUGAGACCCUCUGCAGCAGCCCCAACAGAAGAGCCAAACGACUCUAUAUGACGUGGCUCGAUAACAACCGUCGAAUUGAUCUUAGGCGGGUGUAAUUGAUCUUAGGCGAUUAUCGAGGCAUGUUUGUAGAGAGAGGGAUUGAUUAAUUUGGUGGUUGCAUGACACAUGCAUACGGAACAAAACGAUCAAAUGGAAGUCACCAAGAGGCAAUAAUCACGGAUCGGGAGCUAUCAGAUGGACAGCACAGCACAAAACUUGACGUUGAGUACUUUACAUGUGGGCCAAUUCGGUGUUGGGCUUUACAUGUGGACCAAUCUGUUCUGACAUUCCAAAAAAAUAUGACCACAAAAUGAAACAAUAUAAAAAGUGAUUUAACUUAUUAUCAGUCCAUGCAAGGUUUUGUUAUUCGUCGAAAUGGGACUUUAGCCUUCACACCUUCAUAUAAUGUUCCAAUAACUUGUUUUUUCCCAUUAAUUUUCUUGUUAAAAUAUGUCAAUAAUUUUGAAAAUGGUACAUAAAAGUACUCUUAUAACAUCCCUCAAAUAUGGAAAACCAAAUAAAAUAAUAAAACUAGAAAACAAAAUAAAAUAAUAAAACUAGAAAACACAUAUCCCUAUUCUAAUUUGGUAAACUAGGCAGCCAUAAAUUCCACACAUUUCCUAGUCAAAUUUGCACCAAAUCAGGCUUAAGAAGUGGUGUUGGAAAGAUUAAAACGUUCCUUUCAACUUUGUAUAAUGAACUUUCCUAAAAAAAAAACAUAAUUUUCAAAGACUUGUGAUCAAAACAAGCUCAAAAUGUCAAUCUAGCAGCACAAUCCUCUUUACUCCUUGAUGAAUCAGUUCUAAUUGGAAUCACUCCAAAAUUCCAUCGUUUCGUCACUUUUUAAGCAAACUAGAUUCUGCUUGUCCUCCAAUUAAAGCAUAGAAGAAAGUAUCAAAAUUCUCUCAAAAUAACAAAUAAUUAUACCAAAGAUUAGGAUAAAAAUAGAAAAUAAUAUCUACUAGGCGGUCCUCAUACAAUAAAAGAGAAUUAAGUCACGAUAAGCAUGGAAACUAUUGAGGAGAAUUUGUAAGGUAAAUAUUUAUACAAAUGAUAACACUAUUAUUCAUCAACGAUAACGCAAGUUUUAGGGUGAACGACAUUGAUGUUUUCUGUGUUUGCACUUAAAGUCCGCCAAUCUUUUUGCAUUUGUUGCCUAUUGCACUGCACAACUGAUGGAUGCUAAUAUUCAGUUUACAAGCAGUUCCUACUAAACCAGUUCCCUUGUAGUCUACGAAAUGUUGUACAAAUUUCGUAGCUUUGGUUUUAGAAUUUAUACAACUCUAGUUAUACACAUUACUCUUGAAUAUGUAACUGUUGUACAAGUAUUCUUAGUUACUUAGGCAUAGGAAAGUUUUGAUUUGAUUUGAUUGAAAAGAGUGUCUCCAAUUAAUCGAAUGAACAAGAAUCCUUUGAAACAAACAUAGCUGCUUUCAUUCUAAUUUCAGAAAAUCCAAAUCCAUGAAAAACAUAUGCAGCACUCUACUAUCUUUAUUGAUAUCACUUUCAUCUCCAUUUUGUUUGUUAAAGGAUACGAACAAACAUUGAUAUAACUUAAAACAGUAGGAUAUAUAGGGCAGAGUCUUGAACUUGAAUAACACAAUCAACUAAAAGCUAUGAAGCUUUCUUUCUUUUUAAAGAAACCUCGACUGUACGAGAGAAAAUUUUAUUGAAUAAAAAAGAAGUUACACCUAGUCAAAGGGGGACAUAAACUUUACUCCUCAAAAUAAAGACAGGAUAAAGAAAAGAAGGCGAAAAUACAAGAAAGUAGGGGGACAUACACUUACAUAACAUAAAACAAACUUAUAACUAAACAUAUAGAGAAGGAAAGAAACCACAAUAGAGAAACCAAACGACAACAACAGACCCCUCCCCCCCCCCCCCACUAGUACUCUAAAUUUUCCAUAUCAUUUGUCUGAUCAUUCCAAAAAUCUUAAGAAACAAAUCGGGCCUCCUUGUGAUCACAACAUCUGCAAGAACUACUCCCACUACCAACCCACUUCCACAUCCGGCCGAAACAAUUUUCCAAUCAAAUUCAAAUAUUCCUGCUGAGCUAGAAUCACCUUCGUCUAAUGUUGGAGGUGGAAGUUGAGGGGCCUUAGGAUUUCCACAUUUCUUUGGCAAUGGAUCUCCACACAACCCUGGGUUUCCCUCGUAUGAAGUAAUAUUCAAUGAAGUAAGCUGGGUUCCUUCUGGUAUAGGACUUGUAUGAACGAAUAUGUCAUGUUUGUAUAUGAUAUUUUAUUUUUUUUAUCCUACGGCCUACUAUGUUGUCUUCAUCUUCGGUCUCAAAAGCCUUCCUUAACUUCUCUUUAUCUAUCUCAAAUUCAUAGCAUAGUAAUAAAAACAUACUGCAAACAAUUUCACUAUGCAGUAAAAUUUAUCAACACAAUUCCUUGAGCUCUCAACAUUAUAAAUUUAUAAAUGAAAGAAAACAGGUGUUAAUGCAGAAGUCAAAAGAUAUAAAUCACUUUCAAUUGAUAGAACUAAAAGAUCACAAAAAAAACAAGGACCUAGCGUUGAUACCAUAAGAAUGUCCAAAGGCUAUUCCUGUUAACUUUGCUUGGUCUUCUCUUGGUCGAUUCUCCAUCAACUCCUCCUGCUUAACCUCAAUUAUUUCAGUUGUCACCUCAUUCCUCCCCCUCUUUUUACUGACUUUAAUCUCACUUGCACCAGCAGCGGGGGGAUGGCUGGCACAACAGUUCCCGACCCACCAAAUCAAUCAUUCCAAAAUUUCUCAGUCUCAAUCAAUUCAACGAACAGAAUGGCAGCACCACAUUUUCUUCGAACACCACCUGGCAUCCCACAAGUCUACAACCCUCAAUCCACCACUACCUUCAAUGUGUAGCCACCUCAACCACGGGGACCAGCCACCCACGGUUUCAUGUAUGCAAGUGGAGUUACAACCAGCAAUGCAGCAGAAAACAAAAGUAGAAAAUGGAGAAAAAGAAUAUAGAAAGAAAAAGGGUGUCUGGAGGUGGAGAAAAGCCGAGAGGAGAAAGUGGAGAGCACGGCUGCCUACUCCAUUGUCUAAUAAAAUAAGAUCAAGAUAAACUUUAAUCAUUCAUGGCAGGGGACAAAUACAGAGUAUAAUAUAUACCCAUUAUCCCACUAUCUGGAAAAGUACAGAGUAUGGAGUGCAAAGUGACACAACUAUUUAUAGACUGGCAUCAGUAUAAAAUUCUUCCGCAAAUUAUACAUAUACUAAAACCCAGUUCCCCCAAGCACCGUUUUUCACUGUUCAUGAACAGUGAAAAGACGGUAAUGCCCUCGGGUUUUCCUAGCUUUGCCCUCAUGUGUGCAGUCAAUUGCCGGUUUUACCCAUUGAUCCCAAGGGUUCUGUGUCGUUUCUUUCUCUCUUUCCAUUCAUCUCUUUCACUUUACCUUUCAGCUCUCCAUUUUCUGCUUUCCUCAACUGGGUUUUCCUUCGUCGUCGGUGUGCACUCUGAUUUCUCUCAAUUUAUUCCUUUUCGUUUUGCGAAAUUAUGUCCGGCGAGACAUGAUCUUUGAUUUUUGCAACCAUUGUUGGCCGUUCUUCUCUGUUUUUGGCUGCCAUCCGUACUUUGGAUCGAUUUCGUCUUUUUCACCGUUUUGUUUCAAGCCUCUCUUUUGAGAGAAUUUUUACGUAUUAAGGUUAGUGAUUUCUAAACUUAAGUUUUGCUUUGCAGUUUGAUUUCAUUUUUGGUUGUCUUGCCCAAAUGUUAGAAGCUUUUAAUUUUUUUGGGUUCAAUUUUAAAUGGGUUGUUGCUUUCGGAGUUUUCGUUUGAUGACAGAGAUCGGGGUUUUUGGGGAAAAACUUUUAAUCGGUGAGUUUUUUAGUUAAGUUGUGUUGUGGGUCCUGACAAAUGGAUUUUUUGUUGAAAUUGUUUCUCUUCUCAUUUUUGGUUUUUUUUUUUUUUUUUUUUUUGUGCCAUCGGGUUUUUGCAUGUGGGUGUAUAAUCAGGUUUUCUUUUGAAUUUCAGGGGAUUCAGGUUUUUAUUUUUUUUGGAACUUUUGUAUGCAGCUUUGGAAGACAUUUAUGCUUAAUGUGAGAAACUUUGGUUGCUCGCUUUUGGGUUUUGUUGUAGAAUUAAGUUUUUUAUUUUAUUUUUAUUUUAAAGAGUUACAUUCGUGGGAAUUCAUUUAUUCUUUUUUUUUUCUGCAUCUGGAAAAUGCAACCUGAUGUGAGUUAUAGUCAUAAGUGCAAACAAGAAAAAGUUGUAGUCAUAAGUGCAAGAAAUAUAAAGCCAAAAGAACUUAGCAACAAUAUCAUACCUUAUUUUUCAAUUUACUUAUAAGGUUUCACAUUUUUGUAAAUAUCAAGAACAAAAACCUAGAACAGCCUCACAAUUUGGUGCACUGACUAGGAAAUUGACAGUUGGGUAUAGGUAUGGGUAGUUAAAAACUAUGAGACAUGAAAAUUAUUGUCAAAUGCAAGGACAGAAGGUCGUGUAUUUGCAAAGUUGAAGCGGCCCAAGGACCGAGUUGGUAUGUUUGAGUAGAUUGCUUGAUCUCCUUAGUUGGGUUUAGGUUUAAUGCUCAGUAGUUGGGACCAAGAUCCUCUCCCGAGGUAAGGAUGAGGAUCCUCCUGAUCAAGGAGUGUGGACCGUUGGAUGAAAAUCCAACGGCUACAAUUAUUAUAACUUUAAAGAGACUCCCCAGUUUGUAGUCGUUGGAUUUUCAUCCAACGGCCCACACUCCUUGGUCAGGAGGAUCCUCAUCCUUAGCUCAGGAGAGGAUCCUGGUCCCAGUAGUUGUUGUGCUUCUGCUGCUUUUUAGUUGUCGAGGAUAUACAGGGGGACAAGGAUUGUCUGCCCUCCCACUUUCGGUGCCCUCCUGUGAUUUGUGUGGUCACGAUUAAGCCACGUUAAUAUUUUAUAUUACUAUUCUUUGUGUCAACAUUUUAUAUCCUAUGCAGGGAGAGCAAGUAAAAAGAUUGUAUUCACUGUGUUGACGCAUUAUUGAACAAGAGACCCAAAAGGAAGAACAUAUUCAAUCUCAAAGUCUGUCAGCUUUCACUUCUUAAUUUUAUUAUUAUUAAUUUUGUUUGCUCUUCGAAAUUUGAAUGCAUGAGUUUUUUAAUUUUUUUGCGAUUAGUUUCCCUGAGAUGGGUUUUGGGUAAUCAUUUAUUACUUUCUGAUUUGGUUACAGGAUGCGAAUCAUUGCUUCUUUAGAAAAGAUUAAGGAAGGUGAGCAAUUUCAGAAAAAAAAUGCGAUUAUCAUUUUCUAGAGAUCAUGGCAUGCCCUUCCGUUAUUUUUUGGUGGUUGUAAAAUUAUGACCUGACAGGGAAGUUGGUUUUGACAAGAUUUUUAUUUUUAUUUUUUAUUUUUUAAUUUUACAUAUGUAGUGUCAUGCUAGCAUUAUUGCUUACGUAUAAAUGCGAGUGUGUUUUACAUUUAUAUAAUGCCUUUAAUUUUAACCUCUGCAUUUUCACUAAUGCCUUUAAUUAUCCUCUGUUUUACAUGUCAGUUACGACACAAAAGCUUCAUAGAAAAAGUAUCAGCUUUUGACUCAAAUUUCGACCGUGCCCCUAUCAUUUCCGAAAAUCAAAGCAACCCCAAGCAAUUCCAGAAUCAUUUUUAUGCGUCUCAAAAUCCAGUAUGUAUUAUCUUCAUCUCAAAUUUAUUCAUCUCACAAACGUUGAUAUCAAGUUCGUAGUUUUUCAUUGUUCAAAAUUCCACACUACUCAAUAUUUAAUAACACUUUUAUUUUCCUCUAUUUACCUUUUUAUUAGUGAUGUUGCAGCAAAGGAAAUAUCAGACACGACUCUUAUUCCAAAGGCUCCAACCAGAAAUGUAUCAGAUUCCCCAAUCAUUUCUGAAACCAUAUUUAUGGCUGCAAAACAGAGUAUGUAUACCCUUUCAUUGUUCUAUACUUUUUGAAUUAUUAAUGACCUAUUAAACAUGAUCUCUUUAUCCCAUUCGCUUAAAACUCAAAUAGUUCACUAGAUUUCUGUAUCAUAGUAUCUUUCGACCAUCUUUUGUAUGUAAGUAGGACAAUUUCGUAAAUCUUUUGUAUGUAAAUAUUAUAUACAUAUGCAUCAAGCAUUCUCUUUUGUAUGUAAAUAGGAUUAUCUACCAAAUCUUUUGCACAUAAAAUAGUAUGUACAUAUAGAUCAAGUAUUUUUGUAUGUACAUAGUGCUAUACACAAAAUUUCAUACAGUUUUCAAUCCCGCAGCAUCGUGCGGGCAUCUCUUACUAGUUAAUCUCUAAAAAGUGAUAGAGAUAGGUGUAACGGGGCAAGAACUUUUUGAAGUCAAGUCUUCAACUUUUGAAGUCAAGUGCAUCGUAUCUUCUACAUGCGUAAAAGAGGCUCUUGACUAAUUGAUUUGUGAGUUAAUUUUUGAAGUCAAGUCUUCAACUUUUGAGAUGGCGUGAAAUUAGAAGUUAGACAAAUGAGCAGCACCAUAAAAGAAAAAAGAAAAAAUUUGCACACACAUAGUUAAUCUCAUGAGUUCCUUCUGUAAGGGUUUAUGAUAUUUGUAUUGACACUCUUGUAAGGUUUUAUCAUAUUUGUAUGCCCAAUUGCAAGACUAAUCCAAACUUUGUAUUUGGGUACUUCUAAAUGUGUUGGACCUUCAUGCUUGAAAUCUUCAUUAAAAUAUGUGUAAUUUGUAUUCGAAUGUAAAAUUAAAAAAAAUAAAUAAAUGUUAAUGGGUGACUCAUGAGUUUAACAGGUUGAGUUUGAGUGACUCAUUAGCUUAACGAGUCGGGUGUGGGCGACUCGUUAGCCUAAGGGGUCAGGGGAAAUCCGAUCCAAACUAAAUAAACCCGACCCGUUUAUAGGUUACUAGCAGAUAGUAAAGGGAUGAAAGUUUCGAACUCGCAACAGCAAAUUAAGACAUUAGAGUCAUCAGAUUCAAUUCCUGCAAUUCCUGCAUUGGCUUGAAGUGGAAUGGAUUUGAAGCAAGAACUUUUCAUUCGAUAUCCAAUUUCUUCAUCAUUAGGACUUUCAAACUCCUAGCAUAUAUUAAGUCAAGAUUGCGGGUGUAACGAAAUUUUUCAUGUUGGAUUUGGUCUAUGGUGCAUUUUUCAAACUGCAAGCCCUUUUUUCAUCAGAAAAGAAAUAUCUCAUUAACUCGAGAGAAAGCACGGAAGAGAGAUACUUCCACUUGGAGGUGAGGCCCCAACCAUGAAAAACUAUAGAAAAACGUAUUUGGCUCAAUUCUACUUUUCCUUCAUUCUCAAAUGUACAAUAUAUAUAUAUAUAUAUAUAUAUAUAUAUAUAGCCAAGUCCAAUUUUCAGAAGUCGAAUCAUGUGAACGGUAGAAGAUCAAUGUAUAAAAAUUACAAGUGUGUGUAGGAAGUAAAAUGGGAUGUGUGAAUAGUAUUGGGAGAAAUUAGAUUUACAUCAUUCCUUUUGCUACUCCAUUAAUUAAAAUAUUAUUCCUUUUCAAUUUUUUAUCAAGGUCUUUGAAUAUUAAUAAUACAUUAAUUAUUUCAAUAAUAAAAUAUUUUUUAUUUUUAAAUAUAUUCCUUUAGGGUGCGUUUGUUGCACAGAACUAUCUCGGAUUGGACUAACUUCAAGAACUAAGCUGGACUGACUUGGCUUAGACUAAGCAUGACAAAAAUAGUGAAGUGUUUGGUAUGGCGCCGGACUAAUAAGCCGGACAUGAAAAAAUAUUAAUUUUUAUAUUAUAAAAGAUUAUUUUGUAGUUAUUUUAAAUUUUAAAAACCUAAUUAAAUUGCUUCUCUAAUCUCUAUCCAAGAAGGACCCAGAUGCUUCGUCUACCAAUUCAAUUGCCAGCAACUUUUUUAUUUCCUAUCGCAGCAACUCACCCAACACCAACAAUAAAGAAAUACCCAGAUGUUUUUAUAUCCCAAUUCAAUUGCUUAUCUAUUAAAGCGAUUCAAUUGCUUCCCUACCGCAGCAACUCACUAGUCUACGACAACAGAUUUGCGAAGACCCAAUCGACCCAUAAAUAACCAGACCUGAAAGAGAGACCCAGAAAUACCCAGUUUUGUAAGCUGCCACACAUCCAUCACCAACAACAGCGCUUCCUAAAAAAAAAAUGGCGGUGUAACCGCCGUUUCCCGCCGGCGGAGGAAUGGCUGCACUGCAAGAGUGGUGGGAAUCAAUUUUGGGGGAUGCAGAGGAAUGGCUGCAUCACAUGGAUUUGUGACGAGAGAGAGAAGAAAGAGAGAUGCAUGCGGAUAAGGGGUGGGCUGAGGUCGUUGGCUCGUUUCUUUGUUAGUCCUGCUUAAUACCAUGUGAAACCUUGGGUCUAGAUAUUGAGGUUUAGUGAAGUGCGGGGCGCCUCGUAGUCGAGGCGAGUCCCGUUAAUUCCAAUCCAAGACCAUGCCAAACGUAGGACUAUAAUCCUAGUUAAGCCAAUCCAUGCUAGUCCCUUCUAAGAAGGUGUAACAAACACACCCUUAGUGUUAAAAAUGUUAUAAUUAAUAUAUUUAUAUUUAUGGUUAAAAUUUUUAUCAUAUAUUUUUAUUUUUAGUUUGUAACAAUUUUUAAUUUUCAAACCUUUUUCAAAUUGUACCAAUUUUCUUUUCAGUUUUAAUUUGUACCCAUAUAUUAAUUUCUUUUUGUGCCCAUAUUUUUAACGCUUUAUUUGUAUUUGUGUCUGUGUGUUUAUCGUCACGUGACAUUGUAUAAUUAAUCAAUUAUAGAAAAAAAGGAAAACUAAUGAAAAGAGCUUGAAAACUUUGAGUUUUAACGAUAAGGACAAAAUAAAGGGUAAAGUGAAUAGUAUUGACAUACCCCGAUCAUAAAAUCAGAGCGUGCUGACCGUCACGUGAGCGUGACGUAACCAAAAGUGCGACGCGGAAGCAAAAAGGUAAAAGAAAUACGAAGGAAUAAAAACCAACUACUAGCAAUAAUAUCCAACUAACAUGCUAGAAUGAAUUUAAGUGUGAAAUACACAUAAUCAGAGCAUAAGUACUAGGUGCAGUCAAGUAGGACCAUUCCUAAAUUACAACACCCGAAGGUGAGUCCUACAUUUAAGUGGUCUGUCAGAACGCCGUGGGAGUCCUCGUGAGCCACCAACACUGCUAACUAGAACCUGGAGGGGCGCAAAACAAGAUUGAGUGGGUCAGUAAAACAAAGCUUUUCAAAAAUAUUUCAUUUAAUAACACUUCUAACCCCUCGCUGUAAAACCUGUAUACUUUCCCAGAAAAAUAGUAUAUAUAUAACCAUAUAUAACAACAAAUAAUUCAAAUCACAAGUCUUUAACACUUUUCAGGAAAAUAUGCCAUGCUAUGCUUCAAAACAUAAUAAGGAUGCAUCAAUAUAACAAGUGAAAUAAGGAAUCAACCGGAGACCCUGCAGCUGUCCUGUACGGCUAAUUCUAUAGCUCAAUAUCCAAUCCAACCGGAGUCACCAACUGUGACCUGUACGGCACUACUCUGCACACAAAUCGGAACUACCUGAAGUAGUAUGUACGACAAGAAUGGUGUAAGAAUACGCUCUAGUGCUUCUCUCAUCAACAGCUGUAUAAUAAUCUAAAGUCACCUACAAGUCGGAACCAUCUCUACUGGUCUGUACGACAUGUCGGAACCACCUCUAGUGGUCUAUACGACAUGCACCUACUUGGAUCCAAGGUGAGCGUGUGGUGCGAGGUGAAUAAUAUAAGCACUAACACCAGGGGUGCAGGUUAUGAGCUCUCAACACAAUUCACAUCAUCAAUAAAUCACAUGAACAACAUAAAACUCACCUGAUACUCACUUGUGCGUCCACAACACCAUUUAACAUAUAUGCAUGAAAUACUAGUUCAUAUAUUUCAUAUAAUAUGAAUGCAUGACCUUUUAAAACAUACUAUCAUUUAAAUUCAAUUUCUGGGAAAAGUCAGUAGUAUAUAUGUAUAUACAGAAAAUAACUGCCCACUCACUAGUAUGUCGAAGAGUCGUAACCCCCGUGACGCCCUUGAAUGUGCUCGUCCUCGGGAUAGGUCUCACCUAUAUGCGAAACAACUAUAAAAACGUUAUUUUAACGCACAUAGGCAAAACUAGCUUAUAACUUCUCAUACAUUGCUCAAUUUGGGUAUAUGAAUAUACCACAGUGACCUACUCGACGUCACGGAUGUCGAGAUAUUUUAGAAUAAUUUUUCAAUGCCGCACGCGCCCCCACGCGCCGGGAGAGGCACGGUGCUACGCGUCAUCCCCUACCUCCAGACACCGGAAAAUCUCGUCGGCGCCGGAAACUGGGCAAACCUGUAAAUGCCAUUUUCCACGAAAUUUUCACCAAAAUGUCACAAAUCACGAGAGGAAGAAGGCUAUACCUUUUAAAACUUCCAAAUCCUUUGAAAACUCGUCGGGAUAAUUCACCAAAACCGGCCACCUUCGAACCUCGUGAUCCCGACGUCCAAAACCUUCAAACGAACGUCCUCGAGCUUCGUGGGAACCUCCUUAAGCUCACUGUGAGCUUGAAAUUCCCUGAAACACAAUGUUUUACGUGUGCAUGAACAGUGCACAUUUUCGGGGUUAGGGUUUCACAAUGAUUUCGAAGGUCUUAAGUUCCAAAAUUAGUAUGCUUGAACUCAGGGACUCAAGAUGAGUUCGAUUCUUACCUUAGAACCUUCGAUCUGUGAAGAAAUGGCGUAGAAUAAGCUUGUCCGCACGUGCACAGUGACAAAGGUGCCGAAAAACCGAGAGAGAGAAGGGAGAGAAAGUCCACGGGAGAGAGAGAGAAAAGGCAGGUUUGUGUGUGUGUGGUCCACAUUAAUCCCUAACCACACAAAUGAAAACAUAACCUAAGUUCCAAUUAAAUUUUCCACAAACUUAGGAAGGACAAUAUUAAUCAAAUGUAUAAGUCACACACACACCUUAGAAAUCUUUAGGGACAAUUCCGUCAAUUCACAUCAACGAUAAAUGUAAUUUCGGGACGGCUGUGACAGUAUCAUGAUUGAUUUUUUAGUGUAAAAAUGUGGUUUUUCGUUAAGGUGAACAGUACAGAGAGUUUUUCGUUAAAGUUUCCUAGAAAAAAUUACAUAUGUUAUACAUAACUAUUUGUAGACUGGCAUCAGUAUAAAAUUAUUCUGCAAUAUAAUUUCUAAAAAGUGAUAGAGACGAGUGUAAAGGGGACAAGUGCAUCGCAUUUCUUCUACAUGCGUAAGAAGAGAUGCUCUUGACUAAUUGAUUCAUGAGUUAACUUUUGAAGUCGUCUUCAACUUUUGAAACUGUGUGAAAUCAGAAGUUAGAAAAAUGAGCAGCACCAUACAAGAAACAAGGCUUGAUGACGCAGCACUAGUGUAGAAGGAUUAAAAAUAUAAAUCCUUGAAGAAACAAAGUUUUUGGAACCCACCAGUUUGAUAGAAACUCCAAAAGGAUAAUUUGAUUAAUUGAUGAGUUGGUGAUUACAAUGGCUAACGCUAACACUCAUGACUUAAAUAAGUAAUUUACAACACUUUUGGACAACUCAAAAGGCUUAGAGAAUUAAAACGAAAGUAAAUGACAUUAAUCGGACGACAAUUGAAAAGUCUGAAACUUAUUACAAACUUUAUUUUUUGGUUUUGGAAGCUUAAUUCCUCUUAAACAUGACGGGCUCAUGAUAUCAUUCCUCUUGUUCUGCUCGCAAUUCUCUUCAAAACGAUAUAUUAUACGCCUAAUUAUGACACCGGAAUAUUUCUUGCUGUUUUUUCUGUCGUCAUAUUUAUUGAAUCCAAUAUUUUCCAAUUUUAAUUAUUCUUCUCUUGAAACAUUUUAUUUUAUUUAUAUUUCUUGAUAGGAAGUGACUCAUAUCUUGUCUUACAUCACUUGACUUGACCUCAACCAUCUGAUCUUCGACCUCAAGAUCCAGAUUAAUGGAGUGUGUAAAAAAUAAAUAAAUAAAGGGAAGAGAAAAAGAAGUACAAACCGAUCGAUUACAAAACUUUGCUAAAAUUGCUACAUAACGCAAAAUGACUACAUCUUACCAAACUUAACACCAGCCAAGUUACAUGGUGUAUUUAUAAAGACCCAAUUCUUAACAAACAUGAAAGCAAUCGUAAACCCUCCUAAAUAAUAGGAAAGUAACCUAAGAUCAUGUGGCACAGAAGGAUUGAAGAGUAGUAGAUUGACUGAGUAGUAGACCUGUAAACAGGUCGGGUUCAAUCCAACCCGUUAAAUUAAUGGGUCACCCAAACCCAACCUGUUAAGCUAACGGGUCACCCGAACCCGACCUGUUUCACCUCGUUAACAAUUAUUAUUAUUAUUUUUUUGCAUAGAGUUUAUUUUUUGUUGUUAAGACUUUACUGAAAUUACUAAAACAUCCUCAACUAACGGAUGCUAACGGGUCCGAACGGGUUGACCCAAAGUGACCCGUUAUUUAACAGGUUCACCCGUUAGCGACCCAACCUGUUAAGUAUCCACACAAAUACUAAUAUUAACGGGUCAGGUCGGGUCGGGUCUAAAAUGCCAGGUCAGUGAGUAGUACUCUUGACAAGACUGAACAAAUAAUGAAUGCAACCAAAUAUAGUAAUUAGGUUUUAAUUCGACCGGUGGAGUGGAUACUGGUCUAUGUGUGGAACUUGUGCUUUGUUUUUGGUCUAUGUUGAUUUUUUCAAACUGCAAGUUCUUUUCUCAUCAAAAAAGAAAUAUCUCAUUACUCAUCCCCAACUACAGAUGUCUCUAGGAAGUGUAGGUAUUCUUGUUGACGUCAAAUAGGAGAGAAACGGCAUCCACUAGUCUUACGUGGUUGAUAUGACUCUUUGACACUUGGUAGACCCGAUUCUUCUACACUUAAUGGAUUUCUGUUUAAGAAGUUGAGGUUCUACCAUAAUAUCGCAGUAGUCACAUGCACUCCACGUAGUUCCGUUGUUUGUCCACAUGUUAGACUUAAAAAAAUUUUCCACAAAAAACAGAAGAAAAAAAAAUGAAGUUAAUUUUUGCAUAUAUGUAAUACAUUUAUAGUUGAUCUCAUGAGUUCCUUCCGUAAGGGUUUAUGAUAUUUGUAUUGACACUCUUGUAAGGUUUUAUCAUAUUUAUAUGGCUAAUUGCAAGACUUAUCAACUUCACAUUUGGGUACUUCUAAAUGUGUUGGACCUUCAUGCUUGAAAUCUUGAUUAAAAAAUAUGUAAUUUGUAUUGGAAUGAAAAAUUAAACAAAAAAAAAAAAAACAAUUUUAACGGGUGACUCAUGAGCUUAACAGGUUAAGUUUGGAUGACUCAUUAGCUUAACGAGUCGGGGGUGACAUGACCUAAACCCAAUAAACCGAACCCGUUUACAGGUUACCAGUAGAUAGUAAAGGGGAUGAAAGUUUCAGACUCUCAGCAUCAAAUUAUUAGUCAUCAGUUUCAAUUCCUGCAUUGGCUUGAAGUGCAAUGGAUUUGAGGCCCGAAAUUUUUAUUCGAUACCCAAUUUCUUUAUCAUUUUAGGACUUUCAAACUCCUAACAUCUAUCAAGUCAAGAGUGCGGUGUAACGAAAUUUAUCAUGUUGGAUUUAGUCUAUGUUGCAUUUUUCAAACUGCAAGUCCUUUUCUUGAGAAAAGGAAUAUCUCAUUAACUCAAGAGAAAGCAAGGAAGAGGAGAAAUACUUCGAGUUGGAGUUGAGGCCCCAACCAUAGGAAAACUGUAGAAAAACGUAUUUGACUCAAUUGUACUUUUCAUUCAUUCUCAAAUGUACAAUAUAUAUAUAUAUAUAUAUAUAUAUAGUAAAUAAAAAUAUAUGGAUUAACUAUAAAUACACACCAUUUACUCUUUUAUAUAAUGAGCUUAAUGCUGAAACGUUAAUGAAUCCAUGUAGAAGAUUUAAUAAGCCUAAUUGUUCAAUGAACCUAAUUAACUAACAUGCCCUCUCAAGUUAGAGAGUGAAGAUCCACAACUCCCAACUUGCGUAUCAUAAUCGAAAAUUUUAAAUUUCGUUAGGUAAAAGCUUAAGCAUUGAAAACUUACUUUUACCUGACGAAAUGGUUUCGUCUAAAAUGGUGUUUUCUUGUAGUGAUAUCAAGUAAACUCCAUAACAAUAAUCUUUUGAAUUUUUGCCCUCUUAGCUAUGUAUGGAAGUACAAAGUGACACAACUAUUUAUAGACGGGUAAUGCUUGACAAAGGAAUACGUAUAGGGUGGACUAAUAUAUAUAUAUAAUAUAUGUGUGUGUCCAUAAAUUCCUUACCACAUCAACCUUGACCCAUUGGAAUCUAUAAAUUUGAAUUUGUCUAAAUUCCCAUGGCUACACCAAAUUCUUUACAAACACUUAUCAGCUGCUAAUUAUUAAACUGACCAACUAUGAUUAGUGUGAUGAGCUGAAGGAUACAAAAUAUGUGUUAUAUAAUUAUGGUUGUUUAGUAAAACUAUAACACAGCUAAUGUUUCUCUCGCCGAUCUUUUCUCACAAUCUAGUAAGUGGACUAAAUGAUUUAAGCAGUUAGUGAAAGAACAUAUGUAGCUUGUAAUUUGACUAAUUUCCCCAUGUUCGGAGAAAUUUCACAGGCCUUUGUAAGAUUUCACUUUAACAAAGAGAGCUCCAAUAACCUUCUAAAACAUUUAAGCAAAGCACAUAUCACAAAAAAUGAACCUGAAUGGGGAAGAUCAUCAUAAGCUAAUAUGGACCAUGUAUAAAAGAGAUAAAUAGGAAUUAAGGAUGUGUGAAUGGAUACCAAGCAACUAAAAAGCUUCUAAUGGGUCUUUUCCUUCAAAUAAUGAUUGAUAAGAAACAACCAUUCUUCAUGAGGAAGCAGGUAAUGUAUUGUGCACCCUAAUCUAUUGUCCUAACAACGAUAAUACAUAGAAAUUUAUGGUGCCCCAUUGCACGUAUGCAGCAGGCUUUUAAGCAUAUCAAUAUUUGCAUAAGAAGAACCAACAAACAGAGAGACGAAACACCUAAAUUUACAACAAUUAGUCUUGUGAAGCCAAAUGGGAGGGAGUGUGUUGAGAAUGAGUUCCACGUCAAUGAGAGGAGGAACCUUGCAUAAGUUUGUAAGAAGUCAAGUUACUCCUCGUAUUACCAAUUAAUUUUAUAGUAAAACCUCACAUUUUUUCAAAAUGAAAGUUUAACAAAAAAAAAAAAAGGGAUAAAAAACACCUAAAUUUACAGAGAUAAUUUAAAACAUGUAAAUAAGAAAUUGAAAAGUAAUCUGCAAUUUGGUUUCUUCAGAAGCAAUGAGCAAAAGAAAACGGGAGAAUGAGACCAACACAGAAAAGAAAACAUCCUUUUUACCCCUAAGUUGUGCGCGAUGUCCUACUUCCUUCCCUUCUUCGUUUUGGCAGCCUUCCCCUUCAUUCCUUUCAUUCUUCGUAUUUUCUCCCCCCGCGCUGUCUCACUUUCAGAGUCUGUAAGACUCACUCACGACUCAGCAGCUGUUCAGCCUGACUCGUGCCUCAUCUCAGCCUCACUCAGUCCUUCCUCUACGUCGACCACUCGCCCACCUCGCACUCACCCUCGCGGCCCACAAGCUUCCUCUCGCCGUUUCGAGUCUCGACAGCCCACCUUGAUUCCUCGAUUCCAAAAGGUUAGUCUUUCUGCUGGAUUAAAAUUUGGAUCCACAACUAUAGUUGGUCUUUCUACUGAUUAAAAUUUGGAUCACAACUGUGUUUUUUCCGAUUAGGGAUUUGAAUUGGAAACCUUAUCUGUCAUUUCUGCUUUGACAGUUUUGUUUCUCUAUUUGUAAAUAUGAAUUCAUCACAGAAAAACACAAAAUGGUUUUGUUAUUUACCAUUAAUUUUCUUGUUAAAAUAUGUCAAUAAUACGAAGGAAGUUUUAAUGAAAAGUCCGCGGUACUAUUUACUUUAACGAAAAAUCAUAUUUUUACAUUAAAAAGUCAAAUAUGGUAAUAUUCACUUUACAUUUUAUUUUGUCCUUAUCGUUAAAACUCAAAGUUUUCAAGCUCUUUUCAUUAAUUUUACUUAAUAUGAAAGGUUUUGUUAUUCGCCAAAGUGGGACUUUCGCCUUCACCUCUUCACAUGUACCAAUCACUUGUUUUUUCCCAAUAAUUUUCUUGUUAAAAUAUGUCAAUAAUUUUGAAAAAUGGUACAUAAAAGUACUCUUGUAAAGUUAUGAUAUCUUCACGUGAAAAUGUUUUUUUGCAAGAAUAAAAGGUGUAUUGUCCUUGCACGACAAAAGAGAAAUUAAGUUACUGAUAAAACACAAGUUUUAGGGCUAACGACAAUGAUGUUUUCUGUAUCUGCGCUUCAAGUCCACCAGCCCUUUUGCAUUUGUUGCCUAUUGCACAACUGAUGUAUUCAGUUUACAAGUUGUUCCUACAAAACCAGUUCCCCUGUAAUCCACGAUUCUUAUUCAUUCUCUCCGAUGAUUGGAACAAAAAGUUGUACAAAUUUCGUAGCUCUGGUUUUAGAAUUUUAGACAAUCCUUGCUAUACACAUUAUUCUUAAAUAUGUAACUGUUCUACAAGUAUUCUUAGUUACUAAGGCAUAGGAAAGUUUCGAUUUCAUUUGAUUGAAAAGAUUUGUCUCCAAUUAAUCGAAGGGUUAUUAUACAAAAUAGUCCAUGAGAUUUUUAUGAUCAAUAGAAAUUCUCUAAUAUUAAAAAUCAAUAUAAAUGGCCCCUGAGAUUGUUCAUUAUCCAUGAUUUUGGUCAUUUCAUUAAAACUUCUUUGGGCAAUUUUCAAAACUUCGUAACUCAAUCGAUUCUUAACCAAAUUCGACUCAUAAUAUAUCAAAAUGAAAAUAAAAAAGUUUAGAACAAGAUUAUACCUAUUUGGAAGCCCAAUGAUUGCCAGAGAUGACUGGAAAAUAGCCUGAAAGGUGACUGGUCCACCGGAAAACUGGAAAACUCGCCGGAAACUGGGUAAACUUUAAACAUUUAUAACUUCUUCAAUACUCAACGAAAUCGAGUGAUUCAAAAACAAAAAUUUAGAUUUCAUUUGAUUGAAAAUAUUGUCUCCAAUUAAUCGAAUGAAUAAGAAUCCUUUCAAAUGAAAAUAGCUGCUUUCAUUCUAAUUUCAGAAAAUCCAAAUCCAUGAAAACAUGCAGCACUCUACUAUCUUUAUUUAUAUUACUUUCUAUCUCCAUUUAAUUGUUAAAGAAACUCGACGGUACAAGCAAACUGAUAUAACAUAAAAAUAAUAUGAUACAUAGGGCAGAGUUUUGAACGUGAACAACAAUCAACUAAAAGCUAAAAAGCAUCAAUACAUUCUAUCUCUUUUUUCAAAAGAAAUCUCGACGGUACAAGGAAAAAUUUAUUGAAUAAACAAAAGAAAUUACACCUAGUCUUGGGGGGAUAUAAACCUUGCCUCUCAAAAUAAAGAGAAACGUAAGAAAAGAAACCGAAAAUACAAGAAAAUAGGAGGGACAUACACUUACAUAUCCUGAUACAAACUUAUAACUAAACAUAUAGAAAGUGAAGGAAAGAAACCACAAUAGAGAAAACAAACGACAACAAGAAAUGUGUAACAUUGUAACAAACCGAAUUUCUACGCCCCCAUUAGUACUCUAAAUUUUCAUUAUCAUUUGCCUGACCAUUCCAACAAUCUUAAGAAACAAGUCAGACCUCCUUGUGAUCACAACAUCUGCAAGAACUACUCCCACUACCAACCCACUUCAACAUCCGGCUGAAACAAUUUUCCAAUCAAAUUCAAAUAUUCCUGCUGAGCUAGAAUCACCUUCGUCCACGGUUGAAGGUGGAAAUGGAGGGGCCUUAGGAUUUCCACAUUUCUUUGGCAAUGGAUCUCCACACAACCCUGGGUUUCCCUCAUAUGAAGUGAUAUUCAAUGUAGUAAGUUGGCUACCUUGUGGUAUAAGACCUGUGAGAUUGUUGGGAGACACAUUGAAAUUGGCAAGAAAAGUAAGUUGCCUCAGUUGUUGGGGGAUCCGUCCUGAGAGCUUGUUUUGUGAAAGGUCCAACAAUUCAAGUUUCAUCAAGUUUCUGAAGGAUGAUGGGAUAGAACCAGUGGGAAUGUUGUGGGAUAGACUCUGCGAACAAGGCUCCUUAAGAUUCCCAAUGAAUUCUGGAAUUUUCCCUUCAAAUUUUUUGCUCGAGAUAUCAAAGGAUGAAAAUUCUUCUCGGAUCUUUGGGUAGUAUUGCUCCAAACAUUUUGUUGCUAUUGUGAGUUGGUACUCAACACUGUUAACAAUCGUGAAUCCAUUGACAUCAUAAACUACGUCUGUGUACAUAUAUGUUGACUUAUUUAUGGUAAUAUCUGGAAAUACAGACGGAACCGCACCAGUAAAAUCAUUGUAAGCCAAAUCAAGAAUGCGUAACUUGGGGAAAUCGACAUUCUUUCUAGACUUUCCAAUCACACCAUAGAAUCCAUCAUGGCAUAUUGCCAAAAGUUUUAACUCCAAAAGAGUCCCCAACCAAAUGGGAAAAACAUCAUUGAAUUGAUUGUUUGACAAAACAAGAUACUCAAGCAUUACACAAUUGGCCAAUGACCUCGGCAACUGCCCUUGCAAUUUGUUAUGACUCACAUCAAUCAUUCUCAAACUGCUUCCUUUGUUGUAUGUCUGAGGAAUAAUUUCGUGAAAACAAUUGUUUCCAAGAAGUAAAAGAUUCAGAUGAUCACUAAAGUUUCCGAGACACUGAGGAAGCAUGCCACUCAAGUUAUUUUUCGACAAGUCAAGGUAUUGAAGAUUUUUCAUAUUGCAAAGCAACGGUGAGAUUUCUCCGGUAAAGUUGUUGUCUGGAUGAAAACCUUACACAUAACAGUUUCACCCAAGGAAUGACAAGUGGAGGUUGGUCUGAAAUGAAGUUAUUAGAAAUGUCUAACAAUAGCAAAGUUUCUAUGAUUGUGUUCCACAUCCAUUUUGGUACUUGGCCCCGAAUUUUGUUUAUAGAAAGGUCCUAACGCUCCAAACUUUUCUGAUAUUGUAAGAAAGAUGGAAACUCUCUUAUGUUGCAAGAACUCAAUCCUAGGACAGUGAACUGCAGAACUGUUGAAUUUGCAAUUCGUGGAUUCAGUGACAAAUUCUAAAAUGUUCCAACUUAAUUGGAGUUGGUAAAGAAAUUGUAGAUUUUGAAAUUGUAAACAUGAAAAUUUCCUCCUUCGAAUGAGACAAGAACGCGUGUACAAAAUAAUAUUUUGUAUUAAUUUUGGGGUUACAAUCACUUUUACAAUUUGAUACUCUGAUUCUAUCUUCGUAAGAUGUAGAUUUGUAGGUGGGCAGUUGAUCCAAAAGGUCAUCGGGGCUUGAUCUAGGGAUGAACAAGGAUGAAUGGACCUUCAAGGGCCUUCAGGGCUUGAACUUGAUGAACGAGGAUGAACAGAUCUUCAAGGGCCUUUGGGGCUUGAUCUUGAUGAAAGAUGAUGAUUGGAUCUUCAAGGGCAUUCGAGGCUUGAUCUUGAUCUUGAUGAAUGAGAAUGAACAGAUCUUUAAGGGCCUUCGGGGCUUGAUCUUGAUGAACGAGGAUGAAUGGAUCUUCAAGGGCCGUUGGGCUUGAUCUUGAUGAACAGUUGGGAGCUGCGGUUGGGAGCUUCUUCAAGUACCGUCGGGGCUUUAUCUUGAAUGAGUGGUUGGGAGCUUCUUCAAGGGUCGUUGGGGCUCGAUCUUGAAUGAGCGGUUGAGAGCUUCUUCAAGGGUCGUCGGGGCUUAAUCUUGAAUGAACGGUUGAGAGCUUCUUCAAGGGUCAUCGGGGCUUGAUCUUGAAUGAGUGGUUGCCUCAAGGAUUUGGCUUGCGGCAAAGGAAGAAUCGGCACGUGACCAAAGUGCUAGUUGAUUCUUCAAAGGUUUUGGCGAAGAACGAAGAGAGCUUUCUCGAUCUUUUGGAAUUCCUGAGAAUUUGGGGAGUUGGAUGCUUGAGAGCUUUAUAGUGUAUUUGUCUUGUCAUUGUCCAAAAUGAGAAGAAAAAACUUGUUUUGAUCCAUAAUGGAUUGAAGUGUGUUUGCCUUGUCAUUGCCCAAAGUGAGAAGAAAAUUUUGUUUAAUCCUCCAAGGGUAUUUCUUCCUAUUUUGUUGAGUCACACGCCAUGUGUAAAAUUUAUGUGACAUGUGAACGUUGAAAUUUUAAUGCAUUGGUCAACAUUUAUUUCACCGAAAUUUCGAUGUCUACAUAAACAUUUGAACCUCCACUGCACCACUCAGACUAUUCCAAUGUAGAUAAAGGAUCUGAAGGUUUGUGAGAUUUGAACCAUUAAAUCUAUUAUAAGCAAAAUCUAGGUACUCUAGUUUGCUAAAGUUGCCUAGCCAAGAUGGGAUUGGACCAGUUAAUCAACUGGAACAAAUCCUAAAAGUAGCCAAUUGGGUAAGGUUUGCCAAGGAAUCAGGAAUUGGACCACCAUAACUUUUGGCUGAAAUGUCUAGAUAAGUGAGCUCACUGAGCUGCCUAAUAUUCCCAAGUGAAGAUGGAACCAACCCUUCUGAAAAAUUGCAUUGAGCCAUAUCUAAUUUUUGCAGUGAAUCAAGGUUUUGAAUAAGAGAGUAUGGUUCCAAAAAAGCCAGUAAAGCCGACUUUCAAUAAGAUGAGAGGACUGCUUCGAUUAAAGUCAGCAAAAUAUCCAGUCAAUUCUUGGUUGUAUCUCACACUAAGAAAUUUUACGUUUGGUAGUUGGAAAAUUCUCACCAGAGAUCACCAAAUAGGUGACAGUCCCUGAGGUAGAGGGAUGUCAAAGAUGAUAAAUUAGCCAUGGAAUGAGGAAUUGCCGAAGAUACGUUUACGAACUGAGAGAAAGUACUUCGAGACUAGUUAAGUUUUGAACUAGGCUUCCAAGAUCUGAUGCUUCAAGUUUCAACAAAGGAUGAUCCUUAUCUUCAGACAAUCUAUCGAGAUUGACAGCUAGAUUAAGGUAUGUCAACUUGGAUAACAGUGAAACUUCAGAAGGGACUUGACCAGAAAAGACAGAGGUAGAGAGGUCAAGAUGAGUAAGGCUUGGAAAAUUCCUAAUGCUAGGAGGAAUUUGAGAGUAAUUGAAGUUAUUGUCAGAGAGGUUUAACCUUGGAAGAUGAACAAGGCGGAAGAGGCUGCUUUCCAUGAUGAAACCUUUGGAUAAGCAUCGAUAGAUCUAGAAGCAGAUAUGUCAAUAGUAAAGCUGUCUUUGGAUUGCAGCAGGGCGGACUUCUCCUCAUCAGGGCAAGAUGGAUAAUGCUUCUGCGAAGAGUGGGAAGAGUUAACAAUAACUAUAUGAUUAAACAGCAACAAAACUAGUACUAGUUUUGAAACCAUGCGAAUGAUGGAGAUAUCAAGUAACCCCAUAACAACAAUCUUUUGAAUUUUUAUUUUUUUUAUUUUUUAUUUUAAAGCUUUUAGGCCAUCUCCAACCGAAUGAG